GGAAGAGGGGGGAGGAGGAAGAAGAGGAAGAGGAGACAGAUGAUGCCCAAGCUGUGCCCAGGUCAAGAAGAUGAAGACAAUAUGUUAGGUUGCCAGACCAUGAAAACCAGUAAGGGACAAAUUGGAACUCGUAAAUAAAGCAAGCUGCAUUUUUAGAGCACGUUCUUUUAUGUUUCAUGUUUGGAAACUCAGCUACUGUCUUUUUUUUUUUUUUUUAAUCACACAGUUUUCCUCGAUUAACAGUAUAAGCUGAUCAUAACUCACUUGUCUCUUAGGGGUGGUUUUGAGUUUUCUUACGGACAUUCUGGCAUUUUCUGAAGGCCGCGACCUUUAUCACAUUUUUCCUUCUCCAGGAGAUGAAAGGCGUGAGCCUGGAGAUUAUGCUCAUGGCCAGCUUAAGUAAAAGGGAUUUAUGCAAUCAAAUUUGCAGAUGGUCUUUUUUAUUGAUCACAACUUUUAUGCAGGGGAUCAAUUUUAAUCUACUUGGCAUCUUUAAUUGCUUAUCCACUUAAAAAAUUAAGCCGGUGCCUAGAAGGGCCCCUUCUAAUGUGAAUUGUUUUCGCUGUUAGUGAAAAUUCGACAUUACGUUACCUGUUGCCGUCAGGAAGAAGACUGCUGAGUCUGCUGUUAACCUUUCGGACAAAGGGGAAGAGUGGAGGGAAGGAAGUUCUUGCUGGCACUUCCUUAUACAUUUCCAGGGUGUUGAUUCUGACAGGGCUGAAGAAUUUGCCCGUUGGCCCACUCCGUCACUCACUCACUGCCCCAGCUUCCUCAUGCAGUUCCCAAUAAUGCGAAUGAGGGUGAUCUGUGGACACCCUGUUGUCAAGACCCCGUGUGCUGUCCCUGCGCCCUGGGCUGGGAGAUCCUCUCACUUAGCUCCCUCCCAGUGGUGGAUCUAGACACCCUUUCCGGACUCCACAUACAGUGAAAGCUGCAUAUCCCUUCUAGACCUCAGCAGAGGAACGGAGGUAGAAGACCACACAGACUUUAGUUCUUUAGUUCUCAGAAAGGGUAGAGCCAUGGAGGAGUGGACUGCCAGUGAGGUUGCCAGGCGACGCUCCAGGAAUCCACCACACCAGCUCUCUCCUCUCACUCAUGUUUGGAGAGGACUUGUUGCUCCUGGAAACAGACCCAGUCAUGAGCUCCAGCCCUCCCCAUCCCAUCCAUAGACGUCCUCAUCACUCCCUGGUUGCUUCUUGUCCUCUUGGCUCUGCCGUCCUGCCUGCGACCUUCCUUCAUGCCUGUCUGUUACAACAUCUCUGUAACCCACCCCGGCCUUCUGUUGUCCUUUACUCUCUUCUCUGGGCUCAGGUCUGUCCUUUUCUCCCUGGUCCAACCCUGGAGUCCCAGUGUCUCCAUUCUCCCCUUGGUCUUUCCUGCGUAAGCUCCAAACUUACUAGGAGGAAACAUGGCAAGCCCGCUUCUGUCACUAACUGAUUUACCACGUACAGGUAGGCAAGCUUUCUCACUGGUAAAAGGGGAGCGGUGCUGCUGUCUCUGUCACUUGUGGUGAGUGGACUGGCUCAGGACAUGAACCCUGUGUUGAUAUGGCCACUCUAGAAAUUGCUACAGGACAUUAACAUCCGUUGUGAGUUAGAGGUCAGCUCAGACAGACCCCCUUAUGGGCCCAGUGGAUAGGACAGUCUCAGCAGAAUGGGAUUUAAUGCAGGUGUUUGGGGACUCAGGGGGUCAGUGAUACAAGGUGCUGAUUCUAUGCUGCCUUCGGGAAGAACUCCUGGGUCACUGCCUCUGAAAUGGCCACUGCUCAGCAAGGAGAUGUCCCCACUGGAACUGCUGGUCUCAAGAACUUCCCUUGCAGCACAGACCCCAAGACAGAUCCCCAGUGCCUGUUCCUGCUCACAGCACCCAGGAGGCAUGUGGCUAGGCCCUGGGCACUCUAGCUGUUCUGCCACGCUGGGGACUAGACAUAGAGAAGCCCAGCAGAGCAGCAAGAGAGGCUCUGCAAACCUCACAGGAACGUACCUCCAGAGCCUCACCUGCAGGCCCUUCGGGAAUGCCUGAGUGCAUUUAUGCAGUAUCUGACAGGCAGAAAAGGACUCCACAAGGAGUGUAGGAGGCCUUGGGGUACCCGUCCCCCUGAUCUAUUCCUGGGAUCAGCAAAAAGUUGCCCAUCUACAAGAAGACGGCUUUGGCUGAGGACAAACAGAACCAGCAGUGUGUUGUGGACUGCUCCAUUCGGCCUUCCCAUGUCUCUCCACACCACUGGGCACCACGUCUUUUCUCUCAGCAACUCAUUUGUUGCUGUAAAGCUCAUCUCCAGAAAUGCCCCUGCUGCCUCCCAGUGCCUCUGGAACCCUCGCUUUCAUCCUUGGUCUGUCUCCUAAGGUGCAUACUACCACCAGGCGCCACAGAGGUAAUCCACGGACACUGGAGCACAGCCAAGCACCGUGUGUGUUUCGAGAGCCCUUUCACACAGACCCCAGAGAUAGAUCACUUCCUGUGUGGCUUCUUGCCUCAGACCCAGCCUCCCUCCUUUCAUCUCACGCUCAGCAACUUCCUCUUCUGUGCUCCACUCAGGCCUCAUCCUGCUGCCGUCAUCGUGGUCGCUGUGGAGGCUCAGUCCUCAUCUGCAACCAGGCGCAGCCCCGCCUUCCCUCCUUGGAGACAGGGUUGCUUACGUACAUGCCUUUCCCAGUUAGUACAUUAUUUUUAUUCUGGAUCUUUAGUCAUCUUGUACUAGGAUUGAUUUACUUGUCCCUUAAAAGUUAAAGUUGAUGCGUGGCAUAGAUCUUCAGUAUAUUAGGGAAAAGAAAAAAGCCGCUGGCACACUAUAACAGAAAGUAGAGUUGAUGACUGAGAAGACCUGACACCGGAUCCUAAGGGCCACCAAGGAAGGACCGUGUGAUCAUCAGAGAGCUUCUCCUGUCAUGGGGGUGCCUCCUCUAGGCCUAUAAGAAAGAGAAUAUCCCUAGAUAGAAAGAAGAGAAUGAACAUCUUCAUCGAAAGUCUAAAAGACGAUUUCAGAUAGUGCCUGAAAAAAUUCACGUAGGCUAGUCAGGAACCGUCCCACAAAGCAUGCAGGUCGGUGCAAAAUCGUGGGCUGGAUGGCUUUCUCCAUUUGUUCUCAAACUAAAAAUUGGAAACCCCCUCAUUUUCUUUUCUUUUUAAAAACCCACGUGGGCCUCUUAUUUCUGGCAUUAGGUGGAAAAGUCUCCUCCAUCUCCAGAUGUUUCUCCUCUGGUUGUGGCGCCCCUCACUUUAUGCCCUUCAGCUAGGGCUGGCAGAUGUGAGAGUUCCAGUUCCGACCGGAUUUUAUCUUCAGUCGUUUCUGCCUGGCUGUUUGCAGUCCAAAAGCUACCACAUUACAGGUGUGAUACCAGGCAGAGGAGCAGUCCUCUGGCCGGGCUAAUCCUGCUUGUGGUUACACAGAGUCCUCAGACUGGGAACAGCUUGGGGGCACCCUGGUAGAAGUGAGUAAACCUGGCGUAUUGGAGUUAAGAAAAGAAAGAAAAAUGGGGCACCCCUUAAAUUAAAACAAUGUGUGUGUAUGUGCAUGUGCACGUAUGUGUGUCUGUAAGUGCACACGUGUAUGAGACCCAUGUGUAUGAGACCAUGUAUGUGAGCCUGUGUGUGCAUGUUCAUUUGCAUGUAUGCAUGUGUGUACAUGUGUACGUGAGAAUGUGUCUGUGUCUAUGUAGGUACACACUCAAACGCACAUAUACAUACACAGACAUUAGAACCAAAUCAAUCUCAAGAAUUGAUUAACAGAUAGUAAUUGUUUUUAGUAUUAAACCAAGGGAUUGAUUGUGAUUAUUGAUUAUUUAUUAGUGAUCAGUUUUCUUUGGGAGCUGGAGAUUAAGCCCAGAAACUUAACUCAUAUGCAAAGGUUCCUUCCCUGAGCUACAAUAGGUAGGGUGAUUGUUGGAAUUUUAUAAUGGCCAGCUACUGUAGUGGUGUGGCUUUAAAUGACUAAAGCUUACCUUCGCUAAGAUUCAGGUACAUUUGAAAGUCUAGGAACCACCAAGGAAGAUCUUUCUCCCUGGUGAUCUCUCCUUCCUAGCGUUUCCUGACACACAGCACACAGCACACAGCUUCAUGCCUGCGCCUCACAUCAUUCCUUCCUGCAUGAGUGUUGUCUGUGAUUUCCCUUUAAGAAGGUUAACUGCUACCCUAAUGACCUGUUUCCAACUUGGUGAUAGCUGCAAAGGCACAAAUGAGGUUACAAUGUAACUGUUUCUAACCUGAUGACAUUGUAGAGACACAAAUGAGGUUAUAAUGUAACGUCCUAGGGGAUUAGCAUUCCAGGAUUUUUUUUUAAUUGGGGUCACAAUUCAACCAAUAGCUCUCCUUCCUCUCAGAGCCAGUGAGCAAGCCCAAAUCCCAAAGCAAAUGGCACCCCAAAGUCCCUGUGGCUUGUGUGCUGCAGCCCAUUGAAUGGUCACAAAACUGACUUCAGGUUUGUUCUCCGUUGCAUAGGACAUCUGGGCUUCAGACAUCCCAGUGCACCCCUGGACUGUCCUGUGCAGCACUGCUGUGGGCAGCAGGCCUUUCAAGUUUCUGCUCUAACAAGGAGAGUCUAGGUUGGGAACUCACCCAUGUCCCCAUCCCAGUUGACAGGGCUGCACAGUGGCUAAGAGCUACAGUCAAGCCAUUGAGUUUCAUUACUGGCUGUUGACUGUAUGUGAGGCUGAGUCAUUUCAUCUGUAUGGUGAGACUCUAAUGACACCUCAUUGUGACGAGAACUUCAGCACAGCCUGACAGAUUUCAGACACGCUGAACUAGACAAGUCUUAGAGAGCCUGGGUGAUGGGACAGACUGUACUAUACUGAAAAUAGCAAAACAGGGGAAAAAAUCCCGUUAUCACACUAAGUAGUAUGUCCCUUGUUUUAUUUUCUCAAAGGCUCCCCUCCCAGGUCUGUCAGCAAAUGUCAGUCUACAGAGAUUGUGAUGGUUAACCUUGUCAACUUGGCAGGACUUGGAUCACUGUGAGGAUUUCCAGAGGCUUAACUGAGGAGAGACAGCCCACCUGGGUGUAGUUGGUGUCCCACAAUGAAUGAAAUAAGCGGAACAUUAGCAUUUGUGCUAAUGCUAUGCUACUGAGCACCUCUGCUUCCGGAGAGCAGUGUGAGAAGCCCCUCACACCUCUUGCCAUGCAGACUGUAUGAAUGGGUGUGGUCCAGUAUUUUGACAGAGCAGUAAGAAAAAGUAAUGUGUAUAUAUAUAUAGUCUUACGUGAGUGUGGCUAGGAUUGUGUGCUGUUAUUUUUGAGAGUUUUAUUCGAGAGAGGCUUCAAGUGUUGACAUAUUUUUCCUGGGUGAAGAUUACAGUGAAGGUGUGCUGGAGCGUGCUCACACCCACCUCACACCUGGCCAUUGCUGUGAUGGCCUCUUCCGUGGGUGCACCUGGCAGCACCACCUGUGUGCGUUUGUGUCCUUCUGCUUCCCCAACUUGAACAGACUGAGACCCUGCAAAUGCCCAACUGGCACUGCACAGACGCAUAGAAACUCAAAGAGUUUCCAUUGGGUAUAGCUUGACCAAAAUGAUGGGCACAGAUAGAUACUUCCUAUCUGUGGACAAUGGAGGUAGGGUUCUAGGUAAUUUCUUAGGACCAGUUCUUAAGACCACAUAGCAGGAGGAUGCUCCUGUCCACCAGCUCCAGGUACCCCACUGGCACCUCUGAGGUUGGGGCAGUUGUCAGUCACCCCGUAAGUUGUUAACAUUGUAACAUUGUAACAUUGUAACAUUGUAAUAUUGUCUCUUCUAAAUUCCUGUGACUUUGAAGUGACGCUCAACAUUUCUAUUCUUGUGUCUUUCUUUCCUUACUAAAACAGACAACCGCCCCCAAAAAACCUAUUACAGGGGGCUAGAGAGAUUUCUCAGUGGUUAAGAACUCUGGCUGCUCUUCCAGAGGUCCUGAGUUCAAAUCCCAGCAACCACAUGGUGGCUCACAACCAUCUGUAAUGAGAUCUGAUCUUCUGGUGUGUCUGAAGACAGCUAUAGAGUAUUUAUAUAUAAUAAAUAAACCUUUUUAAAAAACAAAAACAAAAACAAAAAACCUAACCUAUAACAAUAAACUCAGGCACCAACACACCAGUGAGUGACCAUAAUGGUAACAGCUGACCGGCCACAGGUCAUCACCAAAUCACUUUCCAAAGGGCGGAGUUCCGAGAAGUCCUAGUCAGUUGUGUGAAUGGCUGUUCGGAUGCCUUGUUUCCGGUGCUAUCGGUAGAAAGGAGAUAUCUGUGUCUUUGUGUGUGCACAUCCCCAGAAGAUAACUAAGCAGGGAUUGUAGCAAACUCAGCACACGUGGCAUUGUCCCCCACACAUAUAUGCCUAUAGCAAACUUUAGCCAUUUCAUGUUUAUGGCUUCUCUGGCAUAUUCAAAUAGCCUGCAUUGGGAUUUUCAUGUUCGGAAAACACUAGUAAGUACCAUGUAGCUUAGCUGUGUGGCCUUUAACAGCUGCCUUGCCCUCUCUGAGCCCAUUCCCAUCUGUCACACAGAGCCACCCACCUGAAAGAGUGUGAGGUUUAGGGGCAAUGUGUGCAAAAUGGAUGCUCUCCCAGAAGGAUCCAUGUGUGUUGUGUGGUCACCAUGAUUGUCACUCGUGUUAGACUCCAGAGUUUGGCUGACAAGCUAGUUACAGGAGCUUUGACUAGAUCACAAAACAUGUGGCAGCCAGUGGGAAGGUGAGGGUGAGAACUUCAGGGUUCCUUGUUUGAUGUUUAGUACAAUGAAAAGUGCGACAGGGAGCAGUCAGAUACCUUGGGGACCCCACGUGCACCGCACGCACAUCAUGACAUGUGGGACAGUGUGACCUGGCUUGAGCUUCCGUCCAUGUGCCCUGCUGCUGACUCCCCACCCACAGAGCCUGCUGCUUAGGUGGUACCUGGCACCCAGGGUGGACUUCUAUGUCCUGAGCCACCAAGGCUCUCUGGCUUCUGGGUGACUCUUGUUUUCUGAGUCUCUUCUAGUCUUAUAGUGUGCCAAGCACGUUGUCCUUGAUCCUGAGCUCAAGUGUGUCACAGUCAUGUCCCGGGUUGUGCUGCCUUUCCGGUGCUGUAGCUGUGGACUCCACACACCCUCAGACCACUGUCCCACCAUGUGCCUGGUGGCUGCAGACACAGCUACAGUGAAAGUCUGUGACUGCUCAGCUCAGCUCACAUCUUGAUAAACGGCUAAAUUAUCUCUUAAUUGAGUACAAGCAAAACACAAUGGGGGGAAAGGAGAACUGUUCAACACUGCUCGUUCUUCAAGGGAAAUUAAGUGCUCUUUCAUGUCUGAUUUUUUAAAGUGGGUUUAAUGACACCAUUGUGUGGGUAAAGCCAAGGAAAGGCAUCCUCCAGGCACAGGAGGGAUAGUGAUAUUUAAGACAGACCGUGGAAAAGGCCUGCUUCCUGUAGCAUUUCUUAUGUGACUACUCCAACAACCUGAUGUAAAAAUAUUUUGACUGCAGGUAUCACAAAUGACACCCAGGCCCCUUUCUCCCCAGUGUGUGAGGACAAAAGCGGGUUCUCUAAGACCCACACCUUUAAUGAGCCGUCUUACCAGGGACACUCAGAGUCUAAUAGUGUGCCUUUUGGUGAAGUUGUUGAGAAUUUUAAUGCAUUUUAGUUCUCAUUCAUCACGGCCUGUGUGCGCCUCGCAGGAGGGUCCUUAGAAAUAGGAUUAACUUCUAGAGGAAUGCAUUAGCCAUGCCACAGAAGGAGGCAGUGAGCUAACCAGUCUGAUAGGUUAGCUCCAACCUUCAAAUCCUUCAGCUGCCCCUCCCUGGACCCCCGCCCCCUUAUUGACGGCUUCCCGUUGAAUGGCGUUAGUGUAUUUAGGAGUUAGAUGUUUUGUACGAUCCUAGGCUGAUCUCAUAUUCCCUUUCUGAAAUUAAUUCGGCUCUGCUUUACAUGUUAAUCCGCAAAGGAUUGAUUUGGAGAAGGUCAGAGCUGCGCAGCCCCAGAAAACGCAAGGAAAGCCGCACUCAGAGCGGCUCAUUUCGGUUCCCAGACCUAAGCCCGCCUGCCUUUUCAUUGUGACCCUCAGCCAGCUGUAGGAGGCUUGGAGGGCCACAGAAUACAUCAAACACUGGGGUUUGAUGUGGGCUGUAGGAUCGCCGGGCUAAUUAAGUUCAGCUUGGUUAACCAAUUGCAGUUUGCAAAUUGAACAAUCGUACUUUGAAAGCUUUGGACACAAUAGAACACAGAAUCUUCUUUUUAGGCAUAAACAGGCCCAAUAACGGAGUAGCAGCUUCUGAAAGAAGCUUAUGCCAAACCCACACAACUGGGAUGUCUCCAACAUAGAGUUCGUUUCGCUGGUAACAAAACUCCAACCUCUUUUAUUCUGACUUGAGUGAUGUCAAAGGCAAGAAGACCUUAUGCACCAGGCCUGCAAGCCGUUGAGGGAGGGAGGUGCCCAGUGGGUGGAGGGUAGGUGAGUUUGGAGAAUUAAGAGAUUUAAAUUCUUCUUUGAGACGAAAAUUUAAAUCUUGAGCCACAGUCAAACAAUUGUUGGGGAGCUGAUCACCACUGGUACCCGAGAUAAGCAGCAGUUCAGAAGAUGAAAGUCUUGGAUCCAGAAAAUCAAAUUAGAGAAGGCAGGGUCGCUUGGUGAAAAGUCUGAGUGUCGGAGGAGAGGCGGAGAAAACAGUUAAGUCCAGACUGAAUAGAGAUACAAAUGGUGAACACAAAGAAAAGCAUCCGUGCUUUAAUCUGUGCUCGCUGUGUGUGCAGGCAUCCUCUGCUAUUAAGGCCCUUCCCCACUUCGAAACCAAGAUGCUGUGCAAAGGUUUGUUUGCCCCUCUUUGUCCUCUCUCUUUACUGUAAUCUCCGUCUUUAUCAGAGGCUUACUCUGCUCAGAGAAGUCACCUGACCGCCAUGGUGUGUUGGAGCUAAGCAAAGCUGUUCUUCAAGAUCACUGGGAGGAAGGGCUGCCGACUGGACCUGGGGUUUUGCUACUGGAUGUCUUCCUGUGGGGUGGUGGUGGGGACUGGGGGUGUAGCUGAGUCGGUAGAGUGCUUGCCUGGCAUGCAUAGCUCCCUGGAUUUGAUCCCUGGCACUGCACAAACUGGGCGGUGUGGUGCACGGUCGUAAAGUCAGCUCUUGGGAUCAGAAGUUCAAAGUCAUCCUUGACUAUCAAGGGAAUCCAAGCCAGCCUGGACUGUACUACUUCAGAUUAAUAAGUAGAACAGGAAAAUAAGCCAAAUCCUUCUGGGGUUCAGACACUUGAGCAGCUGUCACCGGUCCCCUGUGAAGGCAUCAUCUUUAAACCUUCCUGACAAGGCUCCUGGGUGCAGGAAGGGACUGUCAGCUGCCAGUUUCUCUCACAGCUGGAUAGGAAGCACAUGUCAUGGAGGGUGACCACCUCUAGGCUGAGGGGCCGAGGUGUAGGUGGUUGGGUGUGGUGGCACCUCUUGAGGUCAGCACAGGACCUGCUGCUGCAGUCUUGUACUGGGUCACUCCUCAGUCUGAGGCAGAAUCACCCACAGGAAAGGGACUUUGAAAGUGGUUAUUGCUGCUUUUAUUUGUGGCUGUGGCCAAUAAUGUAAACAAGUUUAAGACCUUUGUACCCUUCUCUCUGGGAAAAUGUCUGGUGGAGCUUUGAGGGGGGGGGCAACCAUCUUUAAUGUGGACAGGGUGAUGCUUUUCUGAAAUUAGCUGUGGCAGUGGGCUGUUUAUAAGAUGAAUUUACAUGCAUGCAUUUAGGACUGACUGAAGAGAGCCGGUGUGGACCAGAUGGUUCUUCCCCUCUGUGCUUCCCCCAACAAGUAUUUCAGAUAGUUGGUGUCGUGGUUGUGAACCUGAGUGAGGGGUGCCGGUCGGAGGAGUCCUGCUGGCUUGUGUCCUGUGUUUGUGGAUUGUCCACCCCGGCAAGACUUCCACACUGGAUUUUUGCAUGUGCUGCUGGUCUCAGCGUCACAGGAAGCAUGCUCAACCAACGCUGCUUGGUUUAUCUGCUCUGCGAUGUGCGUGCUUCCAAUCAGAACUCUUGUCUGAUGUCUCAGCAUUGGACGAGAGUGGUGGUUUCUCACAGCAGGAAGCUUUACAAGGAAAUUCAGAAGAGACGGAAUAUUUAUAUUAACUUCCCUCCUUUUUAAGAGUUGUUUAUUUUCUCUGUGUAUGAGCAUUUUGCCUGCAUGUAUGUCUGUGCACCAUGUAUAUGCCUGGUGCCCCAGAAGGCCAGAAGAGGGCAAGGGCAAUGUACACCCUGGUAUCGGGCUUACGGACAGCUGAGGGCAGCCACGUGGGUGCUGGAAAUGAAGCCUGGCUCGUCUAGAACACAGCGAGUGCUCUUAACCGCAUAGCAGCUCCCCAACCCUGAACUUCAGCAUCGUCAGGAGUGGGAGGAAGUGCAGGGGUGUGAGAGGCCGGCGCUACAGGUGGGGAACAUGUCCGAGUAAGAACCCGGGCAGAAAGUGGGGCCCAAGUAUGGUGGACACAGUGGAAAUCUGGAUGUCAGCUUUGGAUUGGGAGGCACUCGCUCCUUCACCUUCUCUGAAAGAAGAACAUAUCCCUCAGCCUCUAACUCGGGGGGCAGCUGCAGAUGGUCUACUCCGACUGUCGGACUGACUUGCAGGCUCUGCCUAUUCUAUAUGGAAAAUAUGUCCAAGAGCAGCAGCUAAUGCUGAGAAUACCCCAGUGGGAGCAAAGAAAAACGCACACAGCUCACGGGUAGUCCAGAGCCUAGGUGUGCGCUGGCAUCCUGUGGCGGUGCCAUGGUGUUGCUUCCAGCCCCAGCCACCAUUUACCUGUCUGAAAUCCAGUCUGCCUCUUUUGUAGUUUCUCUCUGUGAACUGUAAGGAGGCAGAGUUAAAUGGAUUUAAAAUGGGGGUGGGGGAGAUAAGGUUCAUUGCUCACUGGCUGCCUUCCUCCUCUAUAGCCCAUCACCCCCACCAUCUCUUGCCUAGUUGGGCUUCAGAAAGUGAUGGGUCUGAGCCAGCAGAAUCCAUCUCACCUGGGAAGGCCUCAGAAGGGCCCAGCCCCCAGCCGCCUCUCAGUGUCCACGUAUUAAAUCUUACCAGGUCCCGAGUGUGUUCAGGUUGAGAGGCAGAAUGUGGGAUUUGAGGACACCUUUAUUGUCUACACACACACACACACACACACACACACACACACACACACACACACACACACACACCGUCUCCCUCCCCUCACACCCCUGCUCUCUCACUCCUCCCCUCACCCCAAGCCUUUCCUUCCCAGGUGCCUCCUUUUCUCUUCCUAGGCCGAUUGCCAGAAGUAGAUCAAGUUGUUCAUUUCUCCUUCUCCAUCUUGAAUACUUGUGCCCUGACUUUCCAGAGAAAAUACCAGACUCUUGUUGAAUUUGAGUUUCAGAUAAACACAGGGCAAAUCUUUAGUGUAACUAUACCCCAUGCUCCGGUGCUUGCCAAGCAAACCUGAAGGCCUGAGUUUGAUCCCUGGAAUCAUUAAAAAACAAACAAACAAACAAACAAACAACAAAAAAGGCAGGUGUGGUGGCCUCUUAAUUCCGCCUCAAGAUGGAAGAUGAAGACAGGAGACUCACCUGGAAGCUGAAGGCCCUCUAGCCUGGUCUACAUGAUACCUCAGAGAUAAGGAGACAAACCCUCUAGCCUGGUCUACGUGACACCUCAGAGAUAAGGAGACAAACCCUCUAGCCUGGUCUACUUGACACCUCAGAGAUAAGGAGACAAACCCUUGCCCCAGCCAGAACAAUGUGGGAACCGAGAAAUAACCACAAAGCUGCCAUCUGCCUUCACCCAGGUGCAUAGGCAGGGACUGUCCCAAGGUAGGGACACUUGGGACAGACAGAUACAGAUUUUAAAAAAGUGUGAAAAGGAAAAAAGAUAUUAAAAUCGUACUUCAUUGAAGGAAAGAAGGAAGAAAGGGUAGGAGGAGGGAGGAGUGUGGGGAGGAAGUGUUUAGUAGGUCUGACCUAGAUACAUUGUAGCUUAGAGCCAUAAGGCACAGUUGAGACUUGUGACUGCCCUUAUAAUUCAGGGCCAUCCACACUGACUGUUGUUUAACGGAAACUCACGUUUACAUUAGAGUCCCAUCACUGUGACAAAAUGCCUAAACACAAUCAACUUCUAAAAGGGCAAGGUUUAUUUUGAUUCAUGAUUUUAGAAGUUCUAGUUCAGUGGUUCUCAACCUGUGGUCAUGAACCCUGUGGUGUGGUCAGACAACCCUUUCGCAGGGGUCACAUAGCAGAUGUCCUGCAUAUAGAUGCUUACAUUAUGACUCAUAAGAGUAGCAAAAUUACAGUUAUGAAGUAGCAACGAAAAUGAUUCUACAGUUGGGGUCAGCACAACAUGAGGAACUGUGUUAAAGGGUUGAAGCAUUAGGAAGGGUGAGGUCUCUAGUCAUGGCCGCUUGACCCCAUGGGAUCUGUGGUGAGGCAUAAUAUAAUGGUGGGAGUGUUUGGAGGAAGCUGCUCACCUGGAGACUAGGAAGUGAAACAGGUAAGAAGGGACCAGAGUCCUAGUAUCCUUAUCAGAGACACCCUCCAUGAAAGGCCUUCCACAACCGCCUUGAGGUGCCCUCACCUCCCAAUACAGCCUUCAACACAUAGCCUUUGGGGAUAAGGAAAUCCUCACUCUCGCUGGGCCUUCUGUGUUUUCAUCUGUGAAGUCUGACAGUAUAGCUGGAAGAAAGCAAAGCUCCACUGUGGAUGUGGGGUGUGUGAGCCGGGCUCAGCAGAGUCGUCCGCUCUCCCCAGUCCCUCUGCGCCAGUCUUGAAAGGGUUCUGAUGCUCUGAGGGGUCAGUGAGGCCCCUCUGGCUUCUGUGGUAUGGUGGUUGGUGCAUGUGUUAGGAGAAGGUGGGGGCUGGAGACCUCAAGGGAACAUUUCUGCCAAGUCUCUAAAGAACAAGAGCGCUAGUACCUGCUCUCCCGGGAAGUCCACUGAGUGGGAGGACACGAUUUUCCAUCAGGUGGCUUUAGGUGGGAAAGCUGGCAGUUGGAAAUUUUUGGAAGAGAAAAAUACAUACUAGUGUUUUCGUUUCUGUGGGGUGGGGGUUAGGCUUAUGUUAGGUUUAACUAUUGGGCUCUCUUACUGGAGGAGCCACCUGAAGUGCUGGCCCAGUCACCUCAUUAGGCAGAGGGCUCACAGCUGUUUCUCCAUGAGCGCCUGACCUAACAUUUCUCAUUGUUAGGUACUUCCAGAUGAAGGGGUUUGACUCAAAUGCCCCAAAGCAGUGAGUCUUGGAGCUGAGGUUCCAGCGUGCACCAUGACUUUUUUGCUUUUAAUGUCACUUAAUAAGUUGUACAUACAUGUUCCGAGAGGAAUUAUGGGCUGCUUUGCUCAUUACACACUUUCCAACUCAUAAUUGUGUUGGCACCAAGUGCUGGCAUCGUUUUGCAAGAAGCCGGCAUGUGACUUGGUCCUCCUGAACCUCCCCAUCCUUCCAACUGAAAAUGGCUUCAGACCAUUUCUUAGCAUCUGCUUCUACCACAACCCUCCCGGCACCCCAAGAGGUGGUCAGCCCUGGCCAGUUCUUUCAGGACUCCAAGGAAUAGCUCAGCCCUUCACAGGGUGUAUCCUGCUGUUGGCACGAUGACUUGUGGCGCACAAAGAAGUGUGUCUCUGGGCCUGGGGCAUGAGAGAGAUUAUCCAGGAAAUGAUGUGGUGGAGGAACUGGACGUGGGGGUUUUAGAACCCUGGCUGUUUAGGCAGCGUGUGUUUGCGUUGCUUAGGACCAAGAGGCGGGUGCCGAAGAAUGCUGAGUGGAUUUAUAAUCUGCCGAAGUGACGCUCUCAAUACCAGGAAAACCAUCCCUGCGCUUUUCAUAUUUGUAAGAUGUGUAGCAUGACUUCUUGUCUGUGUGACUUGUUUCCUUUGAGAGGAAGAAAAUGUCAGAUGUGAAAUUUUUAAUUUGUCCCUUCUCCCUCUCUUCUGUAAGCCACUGUAAUAAAUCUUGUGUUUUUGUGUAUGUAUAUGUGUGUGUAUGUGUGUGUGUAUGUGUGUCUGUGUGUGUGUCUGUGUGUUUGUGUGUCUAUGUGUCUGUCUGUAUGUGUGUCUGUGUGUAUGUGUGUGUGUCUGUGUGUAUGUGUGUGUGUCUGUGUGUAUGUGUGUGUGUCUGUGUGUGUGUGUCUGUGUGUAUGUGUGUGUGUCUGUGUGUAUGUGUGUGUGUCUGUGUGUGUGUGUGUGUGUGUGUGUGUGUGUGAUUUAUGUGAGUAUCAGUGUGUACCUGCCACAGCCCAUGAGGAAAGCAGAGGACAGUUCCCAGACUCCCAGAUUUCCUAAGGGUCUAUCCUGUCUGCCUCGCAUCUCAGCACAGGACCCUGGGCUUGCAGGAGCUCACUGAGGCACUGGUCUUUAUGGGUUCUGUGUGGUGAGGCAAGUGCUGCUGCCUGCCGAGCCACUUCAGCUGGACACUUCUUUCCAUUAUAAACUCUCUAAAGUUGGUACAUGGUGCUUGUUUCUGGAGGAACUCACUUAACAAAUUAAGCAAACACUUUAAUUCAGAAAUAUUAAAAGCUGUACUGGGUAGCUUAUGAAGUCUUACUUUUUAAACGUCAACCUACUGUAAACAGUAAUGUUCCAAGCCCUCUGCCAGGUUUUCGCCUAGGCUGGACUGUGUCUUAUUCCACAGCUCACCGGCAUUGGAUACACUGUGUGCAGUGAUACCCGACCGUCAUCCAGCAUGCAAAAAAUAUGAUAAAAUAAUCCAGUAGGUACAGAACCAUGCAUGAUGAUACAAAGUGAUGUGGAACUCUGGGUUUGUUAGCAUGACUGUCUGUUAAGAUGUGCAGACCUGGUGCUAAGGAGGGCAGAAAUUUUCUUGUCUCUGUGAAAUCUAUUGGGGACCUGUUACUCCUGACUAGAUAAAACUCCGAGAAGCAGAGAGAGAUGUUGGAGGAGGGUCUUGUGCUCUGUGUAUUCCAAUGCUGAUUUCUGUGCCGGGACACAGCAUUGCCUGGAAUAUUGAAGAAUCUCCAGUAUCAGUGUGCUGUAAAAAAAAAAAAAAAUGAUCCCCAGUUCUCUCUGAUUGGUCCCUAAAGGGCUGAACAGCCAGUGAUGGGCAGAGGAGAUAGAAAGUCUGGACUUCCGGUCUAGAGAGAAGAGCAAGGCAGAAGGAGUUUGCCAAGAGGCAGGUGAGGGUCCAGGAGAAGAAGGGUCAGAGGUCAGUGGAGGAAGAAAAAGGAGGUCACCAUGAGGUCAGGCUGGAGGAGGAAUCGCCAAGGGACCCAUUAAGGACACACAUGGAGCAGACAGAGCAAGCCAAGGAGAGACAGAACACAAGUAACUCAGUCUGUGGUGGCUGGGAAGUAGCUAAGAUAGCAUAGAGGGUUAGGAAUAGCUAGCUGCUCAGUUAUUGUGCUUAAAGCUUAUAGGUCUUGUCUCAAUUACUUGGGAGCUAGCCAGGUUAGGAAAACCUGUCGCCUUUAAAUUUUAUCCUAUCGAGAGAUACUUUUCCCUUUUCCCUGGUGAUUCCAUAAGACUGCUACCUCACUACACACCACACGCACCUUGUAGCCAUGGGGACUGGUUUCUGUGUAACCACUUGGUAGGGCUAUGGGUGCUAGCCCCAGCUCCUGUCAUCCAUACUCUCCCCAGGUGUCAACAGCAGGUGGGGUCGCAGGUGAGACCUCUGGAAGCAGGCAUUUGGAAGGUUCCAAGAUUAACCAUGACACAUGGGUACCAUGAAUGGGAAGGAAGGCUCUGUAAAUUAUUUGAACUUCAGAACCACAUUUCUCCAAGGAGUAUAUUCAUUCAUAUUCAUUCUCUCUCUCUCUCUCUCUCUCUCUCUCUCUCUCUCUCUUUCUUUCUCCCCCAGUCCCCAUAUUCUUGGUGGUUUCAGGGAAUCUAGAUAUUUCCCAUGGAUACCUAGGCCCCCAAGAGAGCCUCUGUCUCUCCAUUGGCAGCAUGCUGGGGAAUUUGGAACUAAACUUUUCAACCAACUUACUUCCCUCCCUCCCUCCAUCUCUCCUUCCUCCCUUCCUCCCUUCCUUCCUUCCUUCCUUCUUUCCUUCCUUCCUUCUGAUAGGAUGUCAUCUAUCCUAGGUUGGUCUCUGUCUAAUUCUCUGUAUUGUCAAAGACGACCUUGAACCUCCCUGUCUGUCUGCAAAUACACUUAGUGCUAGACAGGCAUGCGCUACCAUGUGAUGCUUCCUGGAUGCUAGCAAACACUCUACCAACUGAGCUACAUCCCAGGCCUAAACCUUUCUUAAAAUUUGUUUUUAUUAUUCCUAUAUUAAGAUUUAUAACAUGAGAUUUGAUUCUCAUAUAUUAUGGAUUUUUUUUCAUGUAUAAAUAUGUUGCCUUCUCUUAAUGACUUUAUCUAAUAAAGCUUUUAAUUUAAAAUGCUGUAUAAAAAUGAAUAUUUGCCUUUCAAAUUAUAUCAACUCCACGGGGGAUGUAUAAUUUAAAAGGACCCUGUGUCAGCUUGGAUUUUGGAUUCUGCUAUUUGCUAGAACCUAUGAUGGGGGAGGGGGCAGGUAGAAAUGCUAAGGAAAAAGGAGCUGGAGAUGGGAGAAGUGAAGAUAUCUACUGACCCUGCUGGGGUACGGAGAGGGCACUGAUUAGCUUGUACCCUCCACCCAUUCUCCCACUUGGCUCCAGGGCUUUGCUCAUUUAGCUCGCAUGAAUUCUGUCCAUCGGAGUUCACCAGACAACUUUUGGUUCCCUGCAAUUGUUGUGAGUAAUUUGAAAAUGAUGAUCACCCCUGAUUCCUCUCUGCAUUCCCUUCACGCCUAGGUGAGUGCCUAGGCAAGUGCAAGCAAUGGUGAAUGCUGGGUAAAGGAACAUUUGGUUUGAAGUUGGUUCUUGUACUGAAAUGGUGUACAUUCCUUCCAGAGCCCUUGCUUGACUUUGUAAGGGAAGCCUGUGUUUUUGUAUCAAGAUCCAGGUAGCAAAGACUGUUGCGUUACAAUAUGGCUGGAUAUUGAUAAUGUAUAUGUUUAAUGGUUUAAGGUAAAUGUAUCCUUUUAACACUUAAGUAGAUCCUUUCUGUUGUGUUACAAUGUGACUGGAUAUUGAUGUGUAUAUGUUUGGUUUAAAGUAAAUGUAUCCUUUUAACCUGUACUAGAGCAUUUUAAAACUGGACAAAGUAGGAAAUGCCUGUAAUAGCAACAUUUAGGAGGCUAAGGCAGGAGGAUCACUAUGAGUUUAAGGCCAGCCUAGACUACAUAGCAAGAUGUUGUCUUUUUCAAAAAAAAAAAAAAAAAGCAGGCUUAUUUCAGAUUAAAAUUUAACUGUGUGUCCCCCCCUCCUUUAGUUUGGGUGGGCUCUGGGUCAGCUUUGACCACUGACAUCCCAGCGAUUGACAGCUUCCAUAUCUGCUCUCUUGGAACACUCUUUAGAAGCCCACACAGCUUCAUGAGGAAGAAUUAAAUCUCAUCUAGUUUUGGCUAAGUUUUUGAUUGCCACCACUCUGGCAACCUGUAACCGUGCCAUAACCAUGCCAUGCUGAUGUGGCUGCUGCCCCUGGUAAAGCUGCCCCAGCUUCUGCAGGUAUGAGUCAGACCAACGGUGGGGCUUUGUAAGGCACUGCGCUGUGGCGGUUUAUUUCCCCCGCACUGAAAAACCACAGGAGAUUGAGUAGGAAAUCCAUAUGUCAGUUAGGCUAGACAUCUAACCUGUGUGCUUGAAACUGUGUGCCUGCCCUCCUGAGGCAGUAGGGGGACAUCUGUCCACUGGGCUCUUGGGGAGUCCUGAGUAAAACUAUGUCCUGCAGAGUGCUGUCUCUUUCCUGGCCCUCCAGUUUUUGUCCUGAAUCAUCAUUCUGUUGAUCCUAUUGACUUGUUUUGGCUUGCUUUCUUCUCUGUGGCCAGAGAUUCCAGUCUCUUGGAGGCCAGCAUGGUGUCUGGUUUGUCCCCAGUGCUUUGCUGGUGUCUGGAAUAUUAUAGGUCAGGGUGGGGACACUAGGAAUUAGUAAUUAAUAACAUUGAGGUGCCAUUUUCAUCCAGGGAUCUCAAUCAGCCCCUCUCACACGAGUGGCUCAUAGACUAGAGUUAACAAGUCAUUCUGGCCUGGAAUGGGGAGGUGCCACCCGAGAGUCACUUUCCUUUGAUGGGACUGUCAAAGCAGAGAGAGUGGUGGAAAGAAACCAGCUUGUCUCUGGUCUGUGCUAAUACAAGAUGCAGCAUGAAAACCACUUGACUCUGGAUUUAGUUCUUUUUUUUCCGGAGCUGGGGGACUGAACCCAGGGCCUUGCGCUUCCUAGGCAAGCACUCUACCACUGAGCUAAAUCCCCAACCCCUUGACUCUGGAUUUAAUCCCUGGUUUUAAGCCAUGACCUUACCAAAGAGUAGAAUAGAUUUUCCCCCCAAAUUUUUAACUAAUAAUUUAGACACUCUUGAAUGUUGAGGGGAUGGCAUAAUGAACAGAAGUAUAGAACACACAUAGACUCCACGGUGAGUAAUAUUUUGACCCUGCUUCAAGGAAAUACUACUCCCGCUGGCCCUACUGUGCUUCUUUUACCAAUAAGACUUCUCUCUGGAGUGACAGUGCUGCUCAUAUAAACAUUGGCUCGUUGGUGUUCAGUCUGGUCAGAGUCUUCACUUGUAUGAUGUGUCUUGUGUGGCUGUGUACUUCUAACCAAGACGCAGCCACACUUACACAUUGCACUGCUUGUGUUUCCUUAAUCAGCUUUAAAAAAAAAUUACACCAGCUAUGUGAAGAGGCCAGUCUUAAGGAAUAUUCCAGAUUAUGAGUUUGACUGAGUCUUGUAUGCUAGAAGUUAAGACCAAGAACAUGACUCCGUCCAGGACACCCUGAGUAAGGACAGCCCUCCCCACCCCACCCCAACAUUGGGCCACUUACCCAGGUCUUAUUAGCAUAUGAGCCCGCCCUCUUGGUGAGGCAGUAUGCGUGGGCUCCUCCAUUAUACAUAGAAACUCCCUUUCCGGUAAGCUGUCAUAGUUGCACAGAUCUGAGCCUGAAAUACCUUCCUUGGGUUGUGUGGUUAAGGUUUGGUCCCCAGCUGCUACCUUGGGAGUUGGUGGGAACUUCAGAAGCUGGGCCUGGUGGGAGGAACCAGGACAGAGGGAAGGGUGUCUCCAAGGUUUUACUUGGUCCUAGUCCUUUCCCUUCCCUCUGCUUCCUGGCUACGUGAGGUGAGCAUUUCUCCCCCACCUCCGGGUACAGGACUUGUCUCCCCUCACUUCCUAAAGGAGGGUGGGUGGUUUGAAUAGGAAUGGCCCCCACAGGCUCAUAGAUUUGAAUGCUCAGUCACCAGCUAGGCGGAACUCCUGGAAAAGAUUAGCAGGAUUAGGAGGUGUGGCCUUGCUGGAGAGAAUGUGUCACUGCUGGUGGGCUUUGAGGUUUCAAAAGCCCUGCCAGGACCAGUUUUGCUCUGUCUGCUGCCAGGAUGUACCUCUCCACUACUGCUCCAGCAACACACGUGUCUGCCUGUGUGCCGCCAUGCUCCCCACCAUAACAGUACUGGACUAAGCCUCUGAUACUGUAAUCGAGAUACCUGUAAGUCUUUUAUUGUAUAAGCAUUGUCUUGGUUAUGACUUUUCUUCACAGCUACAGAAUAGUAACUAAGACAGAAAAUAGGUAGCCAACCAUGGUCUUAAACCAUGAGCUAACUCCACCCCCAACCCCACUCGCCUUGCCCCCAAGUCUGCCCUUUCUAUGCCAGAUGGGACUUGGUUCUCCAAUAACUACAGCUGUCCUUGCCUGGAUCAGUUAUUUUCUUGCACUUGUAAAUUGGUGAUUUUUCUUACUAUCAGUUCAACAUUCUUUACCUAGUAUUUCGUAAAGAGUAAUUUUAUCUUUUCUUUCCUUCAGCCAGUAGGCUGCAACAGUGUGCUUUUAUCUAACACGCUAGAUGCCUUAUUCUCUUUGCUUACCAGCCCCAGGUUUGGCCCUGGAGAGCCCUUCAGGCCGGUUCUCAUUCCUCUAACUCAGUGGCUCUCACCCUUCCCAAGGCUGAGACACUUUAGUACAGUUCCUUGUACUCCCCCAACCAUAAAAUUAUUUUCAUUGCUACUUUGUAAUUUUGCUACUGUUAUGAAUCAAAAUCUGAUAUGCAACCCGUGUGAAACCUCAGAAGGGGUUGCGACCCACAGGUUGAGAACUGCUGGUCUAACCCUGGAGAACUGUUCCCCUUGCACCUCUUGAGCUAAUUCCUUUCUCUCUGCCACCCACUUUCUGCUAUCUCUGCCCUUCUCAUUUCGGAAGGAUUUGAUUUCCUCUAAUAAAGGAUGGUAUCAGGAGACUCCUGCUUCGGAGAAGGACAGGGAGGGGACAGCUCUUCUUUCUCCUCCCUCCCCCUUCAUGCCCAGCCAGUGGAGGAGGUGGGAGACACCCUUGGCACAGGUGCAGGUAGAAAAAUACAGAGUCAGUACAGGGCCCAGUGCAGAAGGCACGAUGAGGGAAGAGAAAGCCAGUGAGGAGAACCCCAAAUUCUGACCCCAUCAAUCUUUGGCUUUUGAGCCAUACAGCCUCCAAGCUCCUCAGAUGGAUUUGAACUGUGCCUGGAGCUGUUUCUUUCAAGACACAGAAAUUGAAGAUUCGACUCAGCCGAGGAAAUUGCCAGUCAGAGCGAAAUAAGCAACAAUGUAAGAAGAAAAGUAGCCAACCCCAGAUCCUCCACGGCUUAGCACUCCAGUGUUUAGGAGAAGCUAAGUGUGGCACUCCCCCGCAAGGGCAGCUUGUAGAAUGCAGGCCGCUUGACCCCAGCCUAGUGGGGAGCUACAUAUGGCCCUACCCUGCUAAGACAUGCCCCCCCAUCCCCACCCCUACCUCCACCCCGUGCCCACAGGAAGUGCAGAUAGGAAAGAAGAGAAGUGAUCAAACCUAGAACAGAGUGGAAAUUCUGGAGCUAAAAUUACUGUCACAUUACCUGUGUGUGUAUCUUCUUAUUGGACGGCAGGGAGUACUGGGACUUGAACCCAGGGCCUCGUGACCCAACCCCUACUAUUGUCUCAGAUUAAAAAAUAAAUCGCGGGCUGGAGAGAUGGCUCAGCCGUUAAAGGCUAGGCUCACAACCAAAAAUAUAAAAAAUAAAUCGCUUAGUGGUUAUAGUUGAGAGGAAAUGAAGCAAAGGAAAGGGCAAGUGGAGCAGAAGGAGUAAUAGAAGGAACCGAUAGCAAUUUUUAAAGAAAUUGGUAAGAAAUAGUUGUAGAUAUAAGAUGCCCAGACAAUGCCAAGCAGGAGAAGUAGCAUUUGAAACCCAGGGAUUCUUUCAGAGUAUUAAACUAAAGGCAAGGAGCAAACCCUGGGGACAGGAGUAAUACAGGAUAACAGUGGCAUCCAAUUCAUUUGGACUUCUCAGGAUCCAGAGAAACAGAACAGAAGGAGAUGGUGUCUUUUUGAAGCCCUGAAGGGAACAAUUUCCACUCUGACUUCUAGGAGACCCAUCUUUUCCCAAGUGAAGGGCAAAGAAGAGCAUUUGGGGUUCAAAGAAAAUCCGUAACUCAUCACCAGCAGACCCAUCGGUGUGACACAGGUUAAAGCGACCUCUGUGAGGGGGAGAUAACAGCACGUGGAGCCCGGGUCCUGGCAGGGGCCAUGACGAAAACCAACUGCUUGAUAGGUACCAAGCGCUGCUUGGUGCGCCUUCCCGGUAUUUGAUUAACCGCGUAACUGUUUAGAGCAAGGAUCAUUCCCCGGCCUCAUGGGGGUCAUAACCUCCGUAGAUGCGGCUCACACGCGCGCGGAACAACUCCAGCCUAAAGUGGUGGCUACGGGCCUCUGCGGUUCUAAGGUUUCCCCAUUGUACAGGAAGUGGUACAGUAUUGACUGUGGCGGGUUAUAAAAAGUUACGGCAUAUGCUGUGGUCCCUGGUGCAAUAACCUAAAACUGUAAAGAGAGAAGACCGAGAAGCUAGUAGGGAAAUUCGAAUGAGUAUCCCGGUAAUUUUUAAGAAGCAGGAAAUGAGAAGCAGGGGGAUACAUACGAUUUUAAUUUUUUAAAAACAAGUAAAAAAAAAAAAAAAGAACCAGUUUCUACAAAUCAAGUCAUAACAAGAUGAUGAAUGAUCCAAAUAUCCAUUGUAAAUCAGGUUUGGGGGGGUGGGUCUUCCGAAUGCAUGUGCACACAUACAUACACAUGCAUACACACUGUACCUACCACACAUGCACACUACCCCCGCUGGUGCACACUCCCCCACACAUGUGUACUAUACUCCCAUGCUAUCCAACCCACUCUCUUUAUAUUUUUGUUUAUUAUUGUUCUUGGGUAGGGUGGGGUGGGGUGCAAAUGACGCAGCGCAUGUGUGGAAGCCAGAGGACAGCCUUGUAUGUGGGUUAGUUCCCUGCUCCUACAGUUCCAGGGUCAGACUCCAGGGAUCCCCAGGGCUGCCCAGCACACCUGUUUCCUGCUGAGCUGGCUCACCUGCCUGAAUCAGGUGUUUUGAAGAACAUUUAUUAGCAGGAGAACUUGCUCACACCCUGCAGUGAACACAGCAGCAAACUCCAGCAGUGGCUUCUGACAGUGCUUUUGUUGGUGGUGGUAGUGAUCAAUGUGGUGGUUUCUCCUCCUCCCCUCCUCCUCUCCCUCUUCCUCCUCUCCCUCUUCUUCCUCCUCUUCCUUCUCCUCCUCCUUUGUCCUCUUCCUCCUCCUCUCCCUCUUCCUCCUCCUCUUCCUCUUCCUUCUCCUCUUCUUUCUCCUCUUCCUCCUCCUCUUCUCCUUCUCCUCCUUCUCCCUCCUCCGUUUCUUCCUCCUCCAACUAUAGAAAACAAAUUAGAUCAGUUUUACCAAAUUAUCUUUUGGUGGUAGAGUUGUGGGUACUUCAGGUUUUGCUUUUCUCUGUUCUUCAGAUUUUCCACAGUAGAGAGUUGUUACAAAAUCUACCCUUUAGCCGCUGUUGGGAUAAAGCCAUGUUAGGACACUGUGCUCUGUAUUCUCAUUUUGUGCCAUCGCCAAAUUUAUAUUUAUUCUAGUGGUUUUUAACUUAUUUAUUUACUUAUCUACUUGUUUUUUGAGAUGGAUUCUCACUAUGUAGCUGUGGCUAGAGCUGAGUCUGUAGACCAGGCUAGUCUUGAGCUCCCAGAGAUUCACCCGCCCCCGCCUCCCAAGUUCUGGGAUUAAUGGUUUAUACUAUCACAUCCAGCUCAUUUAGAGUUCCUAAAUCUGUAAUGUUGUAGUGUAAGACCAUAGAACUGCUUGGGUAUAUGGUCUGUUACUGUCUGUUUUUAUGCAGUUGAGUAUUGCCAGGACCUGGAAGUGCUCACCUGUGGUUCCUCAGUGAUGCGGAGUCAAGGGUAACUGACAUCCCUUUUCCACUUCGAGUGGGAUCAAGUCAAGAAGUGCUUGGUCCAGAAAGUGUCCAUCACACACAGUCAACACACCGGUGGUGCUUUCUACGUAUGGUGAGGGCGUACCCCUGAGCAUGUGGGUCCCCUGCAGAGCUGAGUGCCAGCAGCAGCUAUAGCAGUCUGUACACACGUGAUAAGAAGGGACGGGCCACCAACAGUCGGCAUCUUAGGGUGAUCAGUUCUGGACAACUGUGCCUGAAAACCAGUUUACCCUGGCCUGUGCUUCACAAGUGUUCCUUGCUGAAUGCUCCGUCUGUGAUAGGAAGCCAAGCUGCUUCUAUGGGACAUGAAGGAUGACAUGGAGAACCAAGAAAGCCUGGAGAAGCAAGCUGACAGGCUGUAGGAGCCAUGAGAAAAGCUUCAUGAUUGACAUUCUACCGAGAGAGAGCUAAGUGAAAGAAACAAGCUUGGAGGUGGAUCCUCCCCAGCCAAGCCUGAAGGUGGCCGUGGCCCAGGCUGACACCAGGAUUACAGUAGUGUGGAGACCCUGAGCCAAAGGCACUUAGCACAGCCCCGCCAGAUCCACAGGAGCUAGGAGAUAAUCAACCCGUCUGCCUCCUCUUUCCUGUAUUUGGAAGGAGGGGCUGAACACUGGGGCCACAAAUCUAGCUUUAAGGAAGGUUUCUUCUGUAAGUCAUAGGAAUAAGGAUUUAACAUUUGAAGGGUUUAACAUCAUGCAGUUUGUAAACCAUUCUAGGAGCUGUUUGGGGUCUGUGAAGUGUUGUGGGGAGAAACAGCACGUCUGAAAAUAUUUUGCUGAUAGAGAAAUUGGUUCUUCUCAAGUCACUGUGUGUCACUUCAGCAGCCCCUUUGCAAGGCAGACUUCACACCAGAUGCAGUCGCCAUGACUGUAGCCCUCCUCACACCAUUCCUGGCUCUGUUAAGUGCCCCCAGUGUGGAGAAUUAAGCCACAGUAAAAGUAUACUGUGGAUUUUACUGAGAGGUCACGGAGCGCCCCUCUCCCCUUGGCAGUCAGCAGUGCUCUGAUUACUUUCCAUUUAUCUAGUUGGGAGGACUCAGAGGACCAGCUGGGCCCCUGUCUGUACUCAUCAAGAGUUAAUUUCUGAGAGAGGUGCAGUGGUCAUGAACAAGUGCAGAAGGUACCCCGGUGGUCCUGCCAGACAAGAGGGGCCCUUAAUUAGCAGCAGCGUUCAAUCAGGCAGCUUAACCCGCCAUGAGCUGGAGAGGUCAUGUCCUUCCUGCCACCCUGCCUAUAAACACAGACCCAGAGCCAGGCAGCCUGGGAGGAGGAGCCACCUAAACACAGGGAAGUCAGCACAGAUCUGAGCCUGAGCCUGACAUUGCUUCAGGGCAUACCCGACCAGAGUGUGUGUGUGUGUGUGUGUGUGUGUGUGUGUGUGUGUGUGUGUCUGUGUGUGUGUCUGUGUGUGUACCUGUGUGUCCAUAUGGGGCCAUGUAUGUACCAAUGUGUCCAUAUGGGUAUGUAUGUAUGUGUGUGUACCUGUCUGUCCAUAUGGUAUGUAUGUGUGCACUUGUGUGUUCAUAUGGGUAUAUAUGUGUUUGCCUGUGUGUGUGCACCUGUGUGUCCAUAUGUAUGUGUGCAUCUGCAUGUCCAUAUUGGGGGAGUAUAUGUGUAUGUGUGUAUAUGGCUGUAUGUGCACGUGUGAGAGAGUGUAUGUGUAUAAGCUGGAUGCCCAUAAGGCCGCGUGUGCAUGUAUCUGCAUCUGUGUGUCCAUAUGGCUGUGUGUGCAUAUGGGUGGGCAUGACUCUGUGCAUGUGUGUCGAAGCCAGAGGUUGACAUCUGAAAUCUUCUUCUUUUGCUCUCCCCUUAUAUUUUGGGAUAGGGUCUCUCAGAACCUAGAGUUUGAGGUUUUGGCCAGUGAGGCCCUGGGACCCACCUGUCUCUGCCCCGAGGUCUGGGGUUGCGGACAUGGACCACCCUACCCAGUUUCAUGUGGGCACUAGGGAUUUAAACUGAAGUCCUCAUGCUUGCCCAGCAAGCACUUCACACACCGAGCCAUCUCCCUGCCUGUAACCAUCACCGCUCACACUUGACUAAGUUCUCAGAGAAGCUAUUGUUUAAAAUCUGGGAGUGUCUUUGGCAACUUCCUAUCUCUGGAACUGGACACUACUCGGGCCUUCUUUCCUCACUGUUGGAACAUCAUAUGCUGUGCUAUCCCUGGGGUCACAUGCCAAUACAGAUGGCAGAGUGGGAAGUCAGAGGCCCUUGCUAGCCUGAGAGCCACCAACUCACAUGAUUCAGCUACAAAAUGAGAUGGACUGGACUUGUUCUGAGCUCUCAGAGCAGAGAGGAUUCUGGUCUCAACACACACAAAUGUCAGGUGACCGCAGAUGAUAGACUUGGGGUCUUUGUGUCUUAUUCAUUGUAGCCGAGGUCAGCACUCAUCCCUGUGGUAUGGAGAACACCAGGAACCCAGUGUGGUUAGUGUCCUUCCAUUUAGAGAACAGCUCUUCACCUCUGCACCGCAGAGCAGACAGGACGCAUUGGGCUUUUGGGCUAGGUGGCUCUGAUGUACUUUGAGGCCCCCAAAGAAUCCAAGACUGGGUAUGGGAAGAAGAAAUAAAGACCCUCAACCCCUGCCGAGAUGUCCAGUUGUCACAAACCAUGCAGACACACAGAGCUGAUACCAACAGGCGAGUUGUGUGUAGAGGUGUGGGUCAGUAACUCGGAAAUAGCCUUGUAGACACUUAGAGCAGACCUGGGUGCUCAUAGCUUCUAGGGUUUGAGGGAACCCAGAGUAGUCCCUGAUCCCAGCCUAUAACUACCUUAAUUUCCUUUGUAAAUGUAGCUGAAAAUCCAUCCCGAUCAAAGAACCCAAGAAAGAAAAUUGAGAGCAGUCGUGUGUGUGUGUGUGUGUGUGUGUGUGUAAGUGUGAAAGAGAUCCCUCUGGGUGGGGUGGGGUAGGGGUGGUGGAAUGAACACCAGUUUUGAGUGCUGCAUGGGGUACAGGAAAAGCUAACGCAGCCUCAUGGAAGCUUCGUGGCGCUCACUCAGUCCAGCAGCAGCCAGCGAGCCUGUAGGAAGAUCAGAGCGGCACACACGUUCACAUGGGGAGAAGUGCUUAGUGUUUUCAAGGUGACACAGAGCUCAAGCUCCAUUCUUUAGUUACCUGGCUGAUGGCAAUCGAGAACACUAUGUCAUGGCCCAGUGAAGCAUUGUGUCUGCAUAGGAGAGGAAACUGACCUACCGACUGGGAUUUGUCCUCAGUAAAGGCCGCCAGUCCGGUGCGCAUGUGUGUACAGCCCUCAAUCAUGAUGGAGACAUGGAGACCAAAUUGUCCAUUACACUGUCUGAUCCUGACCGUUUUCUGAAAUGGAUAUUUGAUCACAAAUUCAUUUCGGCAUUGAAGACUGUUUUUCUUAGCCUUGUAAAUUUUUUUUAAGUCUAUGGUUUUUCUCGUCUUCUUUCUACUCUUGCUUUGCCAACAUGGAUACGAUUCAUGCAGAGAAAAAGGAACUGAGGAAUAAAUCAGUCACAGGAUAGAUCUUGCAGCCAAAACCUGCCAGAGCCAGGAACUCUGUUAGGGGAAGCCAAAGGCUGCAGCCACAUGCAGGAACCUCGCCGUGCCUCGUGGGCAUAAACUGGAACCUUGGCAAUAAACCUUGGCUGGAUACAAGGUCGCCCUGUGCGAGUACUCCUGGACUCAGUUGGAUACUGCACGUUCCACUCAUUUUGAGAAGAGGAAAUCAUUGUUUUUAGUGUUUGUAAAUCCCCUCCAUGCUUAGCAGAGAAAUGCUGGUGCUUUAGACAGAGGAGGUGGCAUCACUUCUGCAAGUGUCUUCCCGUCCAUCUCAGCAACACCAUGGCAUCAUGUACUGUGUCUUUAAGCUUAGUCAGGCCAGCUCUCACCAUAGUAGCUAGUGCGAGGCUUGGCCUUGCUUUUGGUUAAGGGGACAGGGUCAUGAGUGCACAUGUGUGUGGAGGUCAGAGGUUGACACUGAGCCUCUUCUUCAAUUAGUCACCUUAUUUUUAAAGACAGGGCCUCUCACUCAACUUGAAACUGGCCAGUUCAACUAGUAGCUUGCUGCCUUGCCCCAUGGUUCCUACUGUCUCUACCUUCCAAUGUUAGGCUUAUAGCUGCAUGCUUGGAACCUGGCUUGUUAUAGGUGCCAAGAAUCCAGACUCAGGGUCUCAUGCUUGCACAGCAAGGGCCUUACUGACAGACUGAACCAUCUCCCUGGGCCCCUCCACACUCAAGUGGCUGGUGACAGGCAAGAGCUGCCUGGCUGCUCACACUGCCAUUGUUGGGUCCUCAUGAGUCUCAUGGGGACUGUACCAUGAUCGGGUGACACUACACGAAAUCCAUCGGCAGCACGAAGCUAACCCUAAAGGUAACUCUAGCUUGAGUCUUUCCCAAGAGCUGUGAUGUUCCUGAAAUCCAAUGCAGAGUAACGAAAAGGGCUUGAUCCCCAGGCUCAGGGGGAACUCAGGGUUUAGCGCUAUCUUCUCUAACUCUCAGCCUGUCAACUUUUUCUAAAUGUGUAGAAUGCUCCAAGGGAGAAACAGCAUAUGGUGGGAAGCACAAUGAGAACAAUGUAUCAAAUACAAUUUUCUAUUGUGCGCAAUGAGAACAAUGUAUCAAAUACAAAUCCACUGUCAUGCACAGUGGGGAGAGCACAGUGAGAACAUGUAUCAAAUACAAACCGUGUACUAUGCACAGUGGGGAGAGCACCCUGCAAGCCAUUCCCAGCCUCACUGUUUCCUCUUUGUUGCCUGGGUGGCCAGAUGGGGUGAGUAUGAAGGGUGCCUUUUCUAGAUCUCUUUCCUGGGAGCCCCAACUCUCCCUUUCCCCUCUGUAGUCAGGUAGGAAUAUGAUGGCCUCACAUGUUGGAGUAGGCCUGAAGUCCGGAGCCACCACUUGGAGGAAAGCUGAGUGACAGCAUUGAACUGAAGCCACCGUGUUCAGGUUCCUUCAGUUCACAUUAGCCUGUCUUGGUUAAGUAUAGUUUCGCUGGUGGUAACAUGAAAUAGUAGUUCUUCAUCUGUACCUGCAUUAUGUAUUAUAAACACUAUAUGAUAUAGUUAAAAAUAUAUCAUAUUGUUAUAUCACCACUAACAAAACAAAUAGAAAUAAAAACAACCUACUGAAACUCUUACAGCUUUCUGAUAGGUGUGUUCACUCCAGAACCGGUAGUAAUAAUGAGAUUUUCACUGGCAAGAUGGACAGAGGGUUAUGAGACUCCUGCAGACAAGGUAGAGUUAGUUCUCUUCUCCAUCUUUUGUUUUGUUUUGUUUUGAUUCCAAGAUGGUUUCUCUGCAUAACCGUGGCUGCCCUGCAGCUGACUCUGAUCCACACGCCUCUGCCUGGGGAAUGCUGGGAUUAAAGGUGUGUGCCCUCACACCCAGCGACUUCCAUCUAUAUGUCCAGGAGUUAAAUUCAGCUCACCCACUGAGCUCUACCACUCACCCUCCAGAUACCUUCUUAUCUGUUAAAACUGAGCCAUGAGGCCAUUCUGCAUGGGACCAUAGCAUGUGGCACAGGUACCUUAAGCUAAUGGCACUUGAGAACCUGAUUUCCAAGAUGUCCUGGGGCAGAGAGCUGCCACAGUUGAUUUUCUGUCAACUGUAGUCAGUUGAAGAGUCAGAGGCAUCCCUGUUGUGCACUGGGUGUUGGGGUGUGUGUGCUUAAGAAGGGGGUGAUCGGAGGGGCACCGUGCUCCACUGACACUUUCCCGGGGUCACUUACCUUUCCUCUGUAAAUCUGUCCACACAAACACAGCUUCCUUCGUUGCAUGGCAUCUGCGUGGCACGGCUCAUAGGUUUUGUCCAUAACUGAGCUUCCACCAGAGUGAAGGAUGCCACCCAUUGAGUCUGCCUUGGUGCUUGAUGAUGAAUCUGCCCCAGCUCUGACAGCUCACGGCCCCACUACCGAACUAGAUAGAGUGUGGGUAGAAUUCACACUGUAAAGGAAAGGAAUCACAGUCAACAUGGAACUUCCUAUGUCGGGUUGGGGUGUCAUUGUGAUGGAUUACACUUUAAAGUUCUGCAAGUUAGAUUGUUUAAGGUAAUGAAGUCAGGGUGGGAAUGUGCAGUCAAGGGCUCCCACUUGUGGGGAAGCAAAUGCUCUCCAGAGGGAGGACAGACUGGAGGAUCCCACAAUCAGGUGACCGGAAGUCAACCCUGGCACCUAUGUGGGUCUUACUUGCUAUCUCUAGCAAGGAGGCAAUUUUAGCACACUCCUGCCUACACCCUAGACCGUGCAAGGGGAUAAUACCUCGUCAGAUGCUCAGAAACAGCCCUGUGCAAGCAUUCUGCAUCCGAUGCUGAGAAUGUUGCCAGUAGAGAGAAAGCCCUCUGAACUGUGAGAUUCCAGUUCUCAGUCCAGGUUUGAUGUCUGCUCCCACUGUGUUGGAGAGUUAGGCAGCUUGCCUCUUGUGCAGAUGCCGGUCUCUCUUUGUGGGUGUCUUGUGCACUGAGUAUUUUUGGUAUAGCUGUGGCUUGCCUGUCCUACCUUGUAAAUGUGCCCAUUCCCACAUGGGCUGCUUUAGGUGGCCACAUCUGCUUCUGCUGAACUUCCUCAGUCAGAGCAGCCACCCUCCAGACUGUUGCCUCGGCCCUCUCUGAUGUUGAUGACAGGGCAUGCUGACCCGUCUUACGCUCUGUGUGGCUCAUGGGGAAUCAGUGAAGGAGAAGUAUGUGGAAGCCUCUAGCCAAGAGGAGACACCCGGCCUCUCCUCGGGAAGCCUGGGUCUCAUUUGCAUUUUUGCAUGUUAGUUGCUCAUAAACAGUCCUGUGCAACUGCAGUCCAACUGUGCAGACUAGGCUUGGAAAAUUAGGACACCCUGAGCCUCCAGGCUAAACUUGGGACUCUGAUCUGAGGGAAUCUUUGGAUUUGGAAAUAUGGCAGAACCCAAUUAGACAGAGCACUGUUGGCAUGGCUUGUGACAACCAAACUUUUCGCAGACCAGAGCUCAUUGGGGCUACAUUUUAUGUCUGUGUUUCAUCCAUUUACCUAUCCAUCCAUCUAUCAUCUAUCUGUCCAUCUGUCUGUUCAUCCGUCUGUCUGUCUAUCCAUCUAUCCUGUCAUCCAUCCAUCCAUCCAUCCAUCAAUUAUCUAAUCUGGGUAUAUGUGUGCACAUAUAUAUGAUAACCAGAGGCUGCCCUUGAGUUUUUUUCUGCUCCCCUGCACCUUGUUUGUUGAGACAGGGUCUCUGAUUCUCCUGGAACUUGCAAAGUAGCCUAGGCUGCCUGACCAGCAAGCCCCAAAGAUCUUCUGGUUUCUGUGUCCCCAAUACUGAAAUUACAAACAUGGCUUCCUGCCUAGCUUCUCUAUGUGGGUUCUAGGUACUAAAGUCAGGCUCUCCUAUGCUUUCAUGGCCAGCACUGUACUGAGCCACUAUUUAUUUUUGAGACACAAUCUCACAGCCCACUGAGAAUUGAAAUUACAAGUGUGAGGCACACCUGGUUACUUUGUUACUCCCCCCCCACCCCACCCCCCCCGAGCUGGGGACUGAACCCAAGGCCUUGUGCUUGCUAGGCAAGCGCUCUACCACUGAGCUAAAUCCCCAACCCCUACUUUGUUACUUUAACAAAGGCUGACUACACAACCACCUUCCCUAGGCUGUGCAAUUUAAGGGAGGAAGCAUUUGUUUUGGCUCAUGGCUCAAGGGUUUCAUCAAUGCAAUGAGUCAUGGUGCAGUGAGGAAGGAGAGAGUAAAGAUCACUGGUGCUCAGUCACACCUCCUGUGUAUGCUGUCCAAGACCCCAACCCGAUCACUGGCACCAUAUGCAUUUAGGUCAGGAUCUUCCCAUGUAAUCAAGAUAAUCCCUCACAAGCAUUCCCAGAGGAUGGCCUAGUCUAGAUAAUUCCUGACAGAUGUGCUGGGAGGCCUGUUUCCUAGAUGAUUCUAGGCCCCGUCAAAUUGACAGUCAACAUAGACCAUUCCACAGACCAAAUACAUUCAUGGUGGCUUGGGUACACAAGCUCAGGAGAGUCUCUGUCUUUCCCCCCGUCUCUCGUGCCCGUUUCCCUCGAGGAUCACUUAGUCUCUGCUUAAGUAUGGUCUCUAAGCUCAUCACUGUGUCUCAGAUCUCUCCACUGACUUCAGGCUCUUGUGUAGAUUUGCUAAUUGGAUAUAAUAAACUAUAUUUCAGCAUAGACAGCUAAUCUUUACAUAGCCAAGAGACAUCUUAAAAAUUAGCUUGACCUUGUAGGUCAGAGAGUAUGGUUGUCAUGACAAUGAAGGUGUGUAGCAGUAGAGCAGGGAAGUGAGUGUGUACAGAAAUAGAUUCCUGGCUAGACACUAAUUGAAUUUUGAGGAGAGGCGCAGGGUACUUGGAUGGGGCAGAGAGCUAUUUCAAUAGGUUCUCUGACUACCAAAUAGCUGGAGAAGAGGGCAAGUUUACUUCGCAGUAUAUAAAAAAAUUAAUUUAAAUGAACCAUAAACUAAAGUUUAGCAGGGCUAAAAGCAUAGAAGGAAAUAUUUCUAACAAGCUAAAACACAUGAGCUGUAAACGAAAAUAAUGAUUAAAGUGACUCUCAUUUAGUUUUUUUUUUUUUUUUUUUUUAAGAACAAAAGAAUCUUUGUUCGUUCCAGGCCAUGAUUAAGUCUUCAAAGCAACUUCCUUUCUAUUAAACGUGCACGGUGAUCUGGACACUAACCUCUUGAGCUACUGAGGAUGAGCUCUCUGUAGCUGUACAGCGAGUCACGCGUGGUUUCUCUCAGCUAGCACGGAUGUGAUGGCGUUCAUUGCCGUGUUUCUCUGGUGUUAAACCAUCUUUACGUUUCUAGGGUAAACCACUCGGUUACAGUGGGUAGCCAGAAGGUGCACUGUUGGCUUCAGUUGGUUGACAUUUUAUUUAGAAUCUCCACAUCUGUGUUUAUUGAUGCCAGGUUAACCGUCUCGUCUUAGGAUUGCAGUCAUGCUGGGAUCAUGGAGCAUGCACAACAAGUUCCUGCCCUCUCCACUUCAAGACCCAGAACGGGCGCUUUUCAGAGCUGUGGCUGUUGUGAACCCCGUUGGUGCUUGGUUACUUAAGCCACCAAAAUAUUUUUUUAACCUUGUUCUUAAUUAACCUUUUAAAUUAAAAAGUUAUUUUUCUAGUUUUACUGUUUUCCUUUUUUUCCCAGGGAGUAAGCUAAAUUAACUGUCCAGUUAAUUUUUAAUGGAUAUUUAUUCACUCAUUUAUUUGACAUUUAUUUAGAUUUAUUGGGCAUUUGCUCUGCACGGGGCAUUAUCCCCCAUGCUGGAGAGAAGUGAACAGCAAGAGCGCUGCUGGUGGCUUUUCCAGAAGAGAGAUGAGAUGUGACGUGUCCAGCUAGUAAUAGCUUACACCUGUGGCAGGCUGGGUCCGUGAAAGAGACCUUCAGACAUUUGUCUCUCAAGGAAAAGUCCUUCUGCAUACUUGUUGAGCUGUGAAUUAAGCAUGGAUCUAAAAUCUCUAAAUAUACAUUAUGCAUCAAAUAUUUAUGACACCCAUACACUAUUCUAGGCGAAGGGUAUAGCACAGACCUGUGGAAUCUGUUUCGGCAGUGUCUCAGAACAUACUCUGUUGCUGUAACACAUUGCCUGUGACUGAGCAGCCUGCAGAGAACAGAACUGUAUUUGGGUUUAUAGUUAUGGAGCUGGGAAGCCCAUGAGCAUGAUCUUGAAUUCAGCAAGGCCUUCUUGCUGUGGUACCGUGAUAGAGGAUGGCGCAUAGCACGUCCCAUCAAGUCUGUUGUUCUGCGGGUCUCCUAAAGCUUCUAAUGCCACGGUAGGGCUCCACCCUCCACUCACGCCAAUAACUUAAGUCCUCACCUUUAAUUGCCAUCGGUGUGAGCUUUCAACUUAGGAACUUCAGGAAGACAUGUUUAAACGACAGCAAGUCACUUACGUCAAAGGUCUUGGGUGUUUUGAAGGAUGUGUGUGCACCAUUUACAGUAAGAUUUGAAAGUCACGUGUCCCCUGUCCUGCCAGAAUGCUUGAGCGCCGACUCUCUGAGCUCCAGGGCUGGGUCUGGGCGGGGAGGAAGUUCCUUUCAACCCUUGUCUCUGUUUGCAGCUCUUGUGUCUUGAGGUACGGUCACCACCACACUUCUUUUCUGAAGAGACAGAGGGUGAGAGUGGAGUUCCCCGGAAGCCCCACCCUCUCAGCCUGACUUCUUCCCCUACAUUCUGGGGCUUGAGGCACUGGCUCUGUGAAGCAUAUUUCGGAUUUGAAGAGCAACCAUUCUUGAGGGGCUGACACCGAGUUCCAUGGAGCAUGUGGAAAAUUGAAGGAGCAGGUGCCAGUCUGUUCUCUGCUCUCCGGGGUCACAGUGAACAGUUGUUCUAUGUAAAGAUUCCCAGGUCCUCCUUACCCAUAUCUCCCACCCACCCACCCACCCACCGCCGCCCUCCCUGGGCUACUGUGGAGGGCAUCUCACACCCACCUAAUCCAGACCCUGCACCUGCAGCGCAGUCCAGCCCUUCCCAGUCCAGGCCCCUCAGGCUCCUCUGUGAUUCCAUCUGUCUCUUGUGAACCAUUUCUAAACAUGCCCGUUCAUCCACUCCCUCUCAGCCAGCAUGGCUGCUCUGACCACCUCGGAGGUGGGCUCCAGCCUCUGUGGCUAUCGUGUUUGCUUCUCUCAAACCUACCCAGGGCCUCUGACCCUGUUCUCAGACAUUUUCAGAUUCUUCCUUUUACUUCCUUCUGCUCUCUGAAAACCACCCGUAAGAGCAGCCUUCCUGGCCACUCGUGCCCAUCCCUGGUCCCUCCCACUCCACGUUCACUACCGGCCUCCUUACCCUGCCUUCGUUUCCCCUGAAUAACAGCCCACGGGGUAAAUGCAGGGUGUUUGUUCACUAUAAUCAGCGCAGAGCCUAAGGAUGCUGGCACACGAGCUGUGUUCUUCCCUUUCUCCCUGCACUUGAAGGAACUCAGAGGUGGCCCUCCAGAACAGGUGCUCCAAAGCCAGAAGGGCAUGGCUGUGGCUCAUGGGUGGCUGGUCCUUCUGAGCAGAAACCAGAGGGGCCACGGUCAUGACUGAAACCUCACAGCAGCCUGUGAGGAGCAGCACCCUCCUGGGAAGGCCAAGGCGCUCAGUGAGAGAGGUUAAGGAAUGGAUUGGUGGCCUGGCCCAGCUCAGGUCUAGGUAGCAUCUUCUGCAUCCCUGCUGUGUGGCUAGAGGCAGAAACAGACACAGCUCCCCCUGCACACAAGCCUUUCCCUGCAGUUUCAGCCUCUGAGUCUCUGGGCCUGGAGGCCAUGCAGCCGCCAUUGGCUCAUUGCUCAGGAGGACUGUUUGCUGUGGGGAGUGAGCAUGCCUCUUACCAGCUGUGAUCCCAGGGCUCUGAGCAGUUACUCAUGGGCAAAUGGGACAGGAACAGUCCCCAUCUUAGAGCACAGAAGAUGAAGUCAGCAGUGGCUCCCUCACACGGGGCUCUUGAAAUCAAGUCGGUGCAUGACCAUCCUUUCUUGCUCCGCAUUAGUCCAAGUCACACGACCCAACAGUCAAAUGUCCAUGGUUCCUGUGUCCCCACUGCCUCGCCAGCCAGCGGACGGUUGAUAAGCAGGUGGCAGCUGUGGGUCCCCGCUGUGACAGAAGAAAAGGCUGCCUGUCCCCAGGGCUUACUGGGGAGGGGGCUGCAGAACCCCCCCCCCCAGGUGCCUUUCCCCAGCCUCUGCCAUGGUUUACGGUUGGCAGCUAGUUACCGGGAAGGGGCUGAGGGACCACGCUGGCUUUUGCCGUUCUGUCCGCAUCUUGCCGAUCUCUGAGCUACCAUCCACCAGGGCCUUAUUUUAGACUGCGGCUUCCGCCAUCGGCACCACAGCACGAGACCUACAGCAUCCACCCAGCUGAUCUUUUCUUUCCAGUUGGGAAGAAGAUGCCCUAUUCUGACCUGCCUUUGUUUCUUUUUUAAUUUUCUUCAUUUCUACCUUUCGGCUUCUGGUAACAGUGGAUGACAGCAGGUUUCAGAAGCCACAGAAACAGUCCUGUAGGUCUGUCCAACAAACCCUGGGGAACAGCCACGUUCCACGGGGCCCUGUGGCACCCACUUGUGUAGUUCAUGAUGGCCGCCCAGCCAGCCUCUUUCCCCCACCACUCCCUAUUUCUCUCACAUGGAAAAAAAGGAAACCACCUAGGGUGGGUUACAUUUAAUGGGGUGAGAAAAGUCUACACGGUAGAGGAGAAGUUACAGGUGAGGCCAAGCGCCUUCCUCCCAGGAGGGUGAGCCAUUUUCUCCUCUCUGGCUCCCAUAUGGACAAAGCACACAAAAGGGCCCUUUCUGGGUUUGAUGUAUUACUUUUAAAAAACAAACCCUUCAUGUUUUUUUUUUUUUUUUUUAAAUUUUGGUUCCUACCUCUUGGCCGACCCAGCAGGAAUUUGGCAGUCUAUUAGACUGCUUCAAAUGCUAAGAGUUGCCUCUCUGGAAGUCACAUAGUUGGGGGUGCUAGGGAUUCUAGAUGUUCUGUGACCUGGGCUGCCAAGCUGCCGGGGUGCUCAGGGCAAGGGGCCCUGGCCUCCAGUGCAUGCAUGACGAGAGGCUUAGCAGCUGUUGAUACACCACAUUUAUGGAUGGGGUUCUUUCUCUGACUCCUGCUUCUUGGUGUAUGACUGAAAUUUUUUUAUAAUCUUUUAGAGUAUUUCCGGGGUUACAUGAGGAGCAUUUUGUUCAGGGCAAGCCUGUUUAUCGCUUUUGUUGUUGUUGUUGUUGUUGUUAUUUGUUUUGGAUGUUGUGUUACAAUUCCUGUCCCAGAUCUGUGAUAAGUCCACACCUCCGUUUAUCAUUUAGUUCUUUCUACAAAGCAUUCAGCAUCCAGCUUCCCUACUUUGAAAAGAAUCAAAACUCCGUACUGGUUCAACAUGGGUAGACAGUGGUGGUAAAUGGACAGGCCUGUGUACGCUGUGUGGACGUUGUGACGUUGUGACGUUGUGCUGACGUCGUGACGUUGUGCUGACGUCCUGACCUUCUACAACGGGGAGUAUUCCAAUAUUCUUCCUUCUGUUGUCCGGAACACAGUGUCUUGGUGGGCUGACCAAAAUUCUUCCCUGAUGGAAUGGGGGUACAGCAGAAGGGUCCCUCACUGGGGGCGGGGGUCUCAGUAGAGCAGAAUGGAGCCGUUUGCUGUCUUCUUCAGCCUUCCAUGCACGCAGGCAAAGACAUAAGGCAGCCAAGCGGCUGGGGGAUGUAGCUCAGGUGUUAGAGCGCUUGCCUGGCUCAGGAAUGCCCUGAGUUCUGUCCCUGGCGCCUGACCCCAUGCAGUGCUGUAAACACCUGUGCUCCUAGCACUUGGGAAAUAUAGACAGGAGGAUCAGAAGUUCAAGGUCAUCCUCAGUUACAAAGUGAGUUUGAGGCUAGCCUGGGCUACAGGAGACAGUGUCUGGCUUUCUGAAUUCAUUCUUAACUGUGGCCUGAAUGCAGUAACCUGUGUUUGGUUGUUGUUUUUAAGGGGAACAGGACUGUAUAGCUUGUUGGGAGAAUGCUUGACUCUGCAUGGUACCCUAGGCUCAGUCCCCUGUACUACAGGGAGGGUCAUACCAUAUCUCCCCCAUAUCUCCCAGCUCAGGUAGCUACUGGAGAUGAAUCUUUGUUGCCUUUUUUAUUAGAAUAAUCAGGGUACUCGGUUGCCCGGGGAGUACUUUCCUUAGGCCUCGUAGAAUGUUCCUAGUCCAACACUGCAUUCUGAUUCCCUGCCCCUAGACAGGGUGUCCUACAAAAACAACCAGAUCCAACCCUUAGCAAUUAAAGAGCUUGGCCAGGUAACCACCCCCUCCCCCAAAGCCUGCAGGAUGUGAGUUAUUCAUCUUUACCAAAGAAGUUAUUCAUCGGCACUAAAGGCUCCUUUGAGUUUUUAUAACUUUAGGAUCCUUUUAAUAACACACUCGUUUUAUAUAAUAAUAUCCAACUGUAAUGCUGUGCACAGCCCCCGCCAGCCCUCCUCUCCUUCCCCACAGGGCCUCAUCUGUGGCAGGAACUUUAAUCUUCCUCUUUGCAUUUUAAUGCUUAUCGUAAAAAGCCUUAGGAGAAGCUUGGGCAGUUUCAUUUUGAGAAAAGCGCACCCAGAAGCCUUUGUUCCCUUAGAACGCUAAGCUCCGUUUAUGGCUUCCAGCUUUAUGAGGGACUUUUGGUGGGCCAGUGCAGAACGGUAGGUCCCUAGGCAUGUCAGCACCCAAGGCUCACUAGGGAGUCCGCUAAGUCCCUCUCCCUUGACAAAGGUUCUCUGUCCCACUCAUGCUUGGCAUGCUUGUGCAUGUGCCCAAAAAGCACAUCAUGUGUGAAAGGCAGGCACAGCCCCUCCUCUCCGUAGGAUGAGUGACUUCCUCAGGGAGGCUGUUUAACAAGGGUGCCUCAUGAAGCAUCCAGCACAGGAGCCCAGAGGAUCCAGCACCAGCACCGUAUGGUUUCAGGGAGGCAAAAGUGUCACCUCUAGGAGUCACGGUGACAGAGUUUUCUAGAGGCUUGAGGAAGAUGAGUGAGCUGAGCUGCCUUGGAAUGGAAUAAAUUCACAUUCAAACUGGAGCCAAGCUAGGGAGAAAAGCAGGGGAAAUACAUUCCUGGUUGCAACGUGUGCAGAAGAUCACGUUCCACAGGAGAGAGUGUGCCCCACAGAGAGAGAGAGAGUGUGCCCCACAGAGAGAGAGUGUGCCCCACAGAGAGAGAGAGUGUCCCACAGGAGAGAGUGUCCCACAGGAGAGUGUCCCACAGAGAGAGUGUCCCACAGAGAGAGAGUGUGCCCACAGGAGAGAGUGUGCCCCACAGGAGAGAGUGUCCCACAGGAGAGAGAGUGUCCCACAGAGAGAGUGUCCCACAGAGAGAGUGUCCCACAGAGAGAGAGUGUGCCCACAGGAGAGAGUGUGCCCCACAGGAGAGUGUGCCCCACAGGAGAGAGUGUGCCCCACAGGAGAGAGUGUCCCACAGAGAGAGUGUCCCACAGAGAGUGUCCCACAGAGAGAGAGAGUCCCACAGAGAGAGAGUGUCCCACAGAGAGAGAGUGUCCCACAGAGAGAGUGUCCCACAGAGAGAGAGAGUCCCACAGAGAGAGAGUGCCCCACAGAGAGAGAGUGCCCCACAGAGAGAGAGUGUCCCACAGAGAGAGAGUGUCCCACAGGAGAGAGAGUGCCCCACAGAGAGAGUGUCCCACAGAGAGAGAGUGUCCCACAGAGAGAGAGAGAGUGUGUCCCACAGAGAGAGAGUGUCCCACAGAGAGAGAGUCCCACAGAGAGAGAGUGUCCCACAGAGAGAGAGUGUCCCACAGAGAGAGUGUCCCACAGAGAGAGAGAGUCCCACAGAGAGAGUGCCCCACAGAGAGAGAGUGUCCCACAGAGAGAGAGUGUCCCACAGAGAGAGAGUGUCCCACAGGAGAGAGAGUGCCCCACAGAGAGAGUGUCCCACAGAGAGAGAGUGUCCCACAGAGAGAGAGAGAGAGUGUCCCACAGAGAGAGAGUGUCCCACAGAGAGAGAGAGAGAGUGUCCCACAGAGAGAGAGAGAGUGUCCCACAGAGAGAGAGUGUCCCACAGAGAGAGUGUCCCACAGAGAGAGAGAGUCCCACAGAGAGAGUGCCCCACAGAGAGAGAGUGUCCCACAGAGAGAGAGUGUCCCACAGGAGAGAGAGUGCCCCACAGAGAGAGUGUCCCACAGGAGAGAGUGUGUCCCACAGGAGAGAGUGUGCUCCAAGGGGAGUGUUCACAUGAGAGAACUUAUCUCUAGGAGAGGGUUUCUCUGAGAGCAUUUUUCCCCAGAAAAGUAUGUCCAGGGAAGAGUGUUGCUAGAAAAUGUGUCCCAAGGAAUGUUCCCUCACGAGUCCCCAGCUUUUAGGGGCUGUUUCAACCUGGCUAUCACCACAGACAUAGCAUCUACCCUUGAUGUUGGUGCACUGAGCACUGAUGGCUUUCUUGGGUGUCAGCAUGGGGCUUUCAACUGUUCUGAGCCAUGCUGUGUAGAAGGGCACACAGGGCCUCUUCUGCAGACCUUCUUGACCUGGAAGCACCUCAGAGGAGCCAGAAGCUGGCUUGAGUGGGGUGGCCUGUGUGCACACCCAGAGUGGAAUGUGUGUGUGUAUGUGUGUGUGUGUGUGUGUCUGUGUGUCUGUGUGUGUCUAUGUGUGUCUAUGUGUGUCUGUGUGUGUGUCUGUGUGUCUAUGUGUGUCUGUGUGUGUGUCUAUGUGUGUCUGUGUGUGAGUGUCUGUGUGUCUGUGUGUGUCUAUGUGUGUGUUCAUGUGCAUCCUCCCCCUUAUUCAGGAUAGGUACCACCUAGGAACCUUCUGGCAUGUCAAUGUGAGGAAAGCCAGAGCAAGAGCAGCUGCGACCUAAGUGUUUUAUGCCCUGCUCAGGGCUUUAUCUACAAGGAGACUGAGUCAGCAGAGGAGCACAUCCCACAGGUGCCCCCAGUAAAGCCUUCCAGUAGGAUUGCUAAGCCUGCAGCCCAUCACUGUCAGGAGGGCAAGGGCCUGUCUCACUGUCCAUCUCUUCAGGUUCCUGGUGAGAUUAAAGAAAUACCUCAACCCCUGGGUGCUCUAGGGAAGCUUCCAGAACCAAUCUUUUCCCAUCCUGAAGUGGAGGUGACAGGCACAGCAGCAUGGUGCGUACCUGUCACAAAGCCCCAGGCCACACUGUCAGUUUCUCCUAUACCGCCUGGCUCUGCAUCUCUACAGUGGGCGGAAAGGCCUGAGGUCCAGUGUUCACUCUCACGUGGGAUCUGUGGCCACGCCCACUUGGCUGAUGCGUGACGACUGUCUCUCUUCAAAGGACAUGUGUGGCUUUUUAUUAUUCAACAUCCUCCUUAUUCAGUGAAAACCCACUUUGUUUCUGGUCUCAUCGAAUUAUUUCACACAGCUAGCAUGGCAUUUCAAUCCAAAGAAGUCCUGUAAGUGCACCUUGGGGCUGGGAGAUGGCUCAGUGGUUGAAGUGUUUGCUGCGUAACUGUCAGGAACCUGAGGUCAGAUCCUCAGCACUUAGGUUAAAAAAAAAAAAAACCAAAAGACAAAAAACAAAAAACCCACAUGCCUGCCCUAGCACUCAACAGGAGGGGCCAGGCAGGCCAGCCUAGCUGAAGGGAAGGGAUUGUAACCAAUAUUUAGCUUGUACACAGGCAGGCACAUGUAUAUGCACAAGCACGCGCGCGCACAGACACACACACAUAUUUGCACAUGCACAUAUGUCAUGCACACAGGCCUACACACGUGCACACACACACGUGCACAUGUGCUCCUGCACAUACCCACAUGCAUUUGCACACACGUGCACACGUGCACACACAGAGUCAUUGUUUUAUGAGCUGGAGAUUCCCAUCUUCCUUCCUUUUUCCCAUUUUUGGGGAAGAGAAAAUGAAACAAAAUUGUGCAGGAAGGGUUUGUAUAUUUGGUUGGGGGAGGGGAAAUUAAUCUUCUCAUAAUAGUUUUUAAAUUAAGUUUCAUACUGGUCCAAGCCCUUUCCUCUCCUCCCUUCCUCUGAUAUUCCCCCUCUCAUUAAAGCUCGGGUUUUGAUGGCAUUCACAGGAAGGCUGAUUUACUGGAAUAGAGACGCUCUCUAGGUCUUAAGUUUUGGAACAUUCCCAGUGUGUCUGAACCCAGGUUUCAGAUUUUACUGGCAUUUUGUUGGCAGGGCUGUCUUUGGAGCCCUUCCUGAUUUGAACUUGUUUCCUGACACCUUUAGCAGUAUGGUCCUGCGUUUCUUAAAUUUAAAAAGGGGGGGGCAGGUUUUAAAUAGAAAAGCAUUUACAAACACAGACGAAAAGUUGAUUCUCUGAUGUCAAGCAAAAUAAAAAAGCAGUUAACUCUCAGAAACAGACACUUAGACACUUUAUUUUUAAAGGGCAGGAAAAGACAGGAUAAGGACCAGGGAGAAGGCUGUCUCCAGAAACCCCAGCUGUGUGGACUCUCCUCUCCCUCUUGAAGCUACAGCAAGAAGGCAGCUUGUUUCACUACCCUGGGCUGUGUCUGUAACGCCAACAGCCAGGGUCACUGGUGAACUCAGGACCUAGCUCACCUGAAGGCCUUGUUGCCAGUCUGUUGGGAGUGGGGCAGGAUAGAGGCGGCCCCAGCAGGAUGCUCUGACACCUGAGUCAGGAGGGACAAAGAAGAGUUUGCCUGUAUUUCCCAGUUGAUAGGAGCUGAGGCCUAAAACUAACAUCCUAGGAGAAAGCAGCCGGGGCAGGGUGGGCUGGUGAGACUACUUGGUGGGGUGGGGAGGAGGGUAGUACUUGCCACCAAGCCUGACAACCCAGGAUCAGUGCCUGGCAACCCAUGUGAUGGAUGGAUCGGACCGGCUUCCAUGACUGACCUCUGACUUCCUCACUACUGCAUGCAUAUGCAAAAUGUUUCCCUAAUGAAGGGGUGUGGCAGGGGCAUGUCAGCGACAUUAUUACCUCUUCACCUUGAUACCAUCCUGGAAGCAUUAGUCGGCCCUGAGGGACACAGGAAGCCAGUUGGAGAAUAAAAAAGGCGGUGCUCAACAUGCACCGGAUGAUGUGCUCGUGAACUGAGGAAGCCUCUGAGGACCAGCAGUUAAACUACUCAGACAGCAGAAGAGCUCAGUGAGGGAAUGGGGUGAAAUGUCCGACCAACGGGGAACCGACAGAGUCAGUCUCGCAGGGGUGGAGAGAUGGGUAGAAGGCGGAACUGGCCCAGAGGGGAUGGAAAGUAACUACUUGAAUGAGCAUCUGUUCCAGCACUGGAUUCAGAACCAGAUUUGGUUCCUGGGGCCGCCAACACGGAGCAAAGCCCUGUGUUGAAGAAAGAGGCCCCUUGUCCUGGGGCUCGAGGAGCUGAGCUAGUGCUAAGCUUCCCCGGCACAGUCUUUGUGCCUCCUGCCCUUGGCAGGGUGGAGCCCGAGAGCAAGGAAGGGCGAUGCUCUGGGCAGCUGUGGUAGAAGAUGCUCUGGCGGCUGAGGCCAGCGGGCAGGGCGGGAAGUCCUUCCCCACGAUUACCCUGAGGCACAGAUGGAAUUGAGGUGGAAAGGGGCCGGAUGGGGGCCUGAGUGGGAGGGCGGGCUUUCCCUUUAUAGAAGAAGGUCAUUCCACGAAACUUGCUUUGACCACCCAGGUGCUUCAGAAACUCCUUGGCUCGGUAGCUAAGGAAACUCAUUAUUUUAUUAUUUUAUGUAAAUUUGGUGAGAUGUUGGCAUGCUUAAAACAGCUUCCUUGGGAGAGAUCUUGCCCAAUGCCCAAGGCCAUGGUCUCAGUCCCCAGCACCACCAAAAAACAAAAAGGUUUUGUUUCCCAGGAAUGUCGCUCAGUUGAUCGAGUGUCACAUGAAGUCCUGAGCAUGGCCCACAGUAGCAUAACUCAAAUGCAGAACGUGCCUGUAACCCCAGACUCAGGAGGAGCAGAAGUUCAAGGUCGCCCUCAGCUGCACAGAGGAUUUGAGGCCAAUCUGGGCCACACACAAGUCCCUGGCUUUAAAGACAGGAGGAAUGGGGGGGGGGGGGGGAACGACCGGAAUUCAUAGAAACAGGAAAAAUAAUUUCCCAGACACUUGGGAGAAAAAUGAACUCCACCACAAAUUUGGUAGCAUUUACUUUUUGAAGAUUUGAGAUCUUAUUUCAGUUGUUUAAAAUAAAAGAGAUUCCUUUCUCAGGUUUAGGAUUAAAUAUACAGAACUUUCCAGAAAAUCUCACAGCUCUCCAGGACUCUUAAGCUGACACAGAUGCCUUUGAGGAGACUACAAAUGGUGUUCCUGCCUUCAUAUCUCACUGGUGAAGAGAGAGAACUGAAAGGCUGAGGCAGGAGGAUCUCAAAUCCAAAGGCCAGCCUGCCUACAUAUCAAGACCCAGAAACAAAGCAGCAGGUCUUCUGUAGUGACCCCACCCCCAGACCCCCAAACCUCCACUUCCUCAGCUGUAAAAUGUGACCACGUGGUCAUGAUACCUGGGACCCUCUGGAGGCAUCUAAGGAUUGGCUCAGUAAAAGCACCAGAGAGCUGUAGACUGCCCAGAACCCUGAAGGAUAUUCUGAACAGACAAAGAGCCCACUCUGUUACUAGUUGGAGCUGCCCUUCUGCACAGCUCUGAAGUUCAUUUGUUCUCGAGAUCUUAGAUCUGAUCGAGUGUGAAGAUGUCACUGUGUUGCUGGUGGGCUGACUAGUGGAAACCUGCCACGUUGACAUCACAGAACCUAACACCUGCUAAAGGCCUAACUGGAAAGUAAGUAGAACUGUGCAGAUGAAGUGGAGGCUUCCCGUGAAACCUUAGAGCAGUGAUAAUUCUGUAACUUAAGCAAUAUGGAAUUCAUUCCGGGACAGAAUGUACAAUUAGCCCAUAGCAAUCGGUAGGUUUUAUCAUACAACGGUAAAUGGUAUUGUGACAUGUAUUUACAACAACGAACCUGAUAGGGAAGCCUAAGAGAUGUAUUUAAGCAACAUAAGACUGCCUGCUCACGAGGUGACUCGGCUUCACAAGCAUUUCAGUUCUCAAAUUAAUUUAGAAAGUAUAUUUAUACAGAAUGAACAGACAGAAAUCCUCCACGUCUGCAAAGGCCUGGGGAAGUAGCACCCAAGGAGACCAGGGAGGAGGAUGGGGCUUGCUGGACACUGAGAUGUGCUUGGUAACUAAAACUGUGCAAUGUCUGCACUGCCUUAGACCUGGGAAUUUAGGAAAGGGGACCGGUGCCAACAGAAAAGGAUUCCCUUUCAGAAACAGCCCCGAGCGCAUUAGACACUGUACAAAAUGAGGAGGGGUCCCACAUCUCCACAGCAAAGGGUAGGUAGUAUGUCUGUUGACAGGUCUCCCAACAAACAGUUCUGAGACAAACUGGUGGGAAUCGGAAAGAUAAAAAACCAGGCCUGUACCAAAGUUUUAUCCUAUGUAGGAAGGAACUCUAAAUGGACUGGGAACACAUUCAUACACAAGAAGCAAGUGAAUUCCUUGGGGAUGGGAAAACAGUCUCUAGAGUCUCUAGCCAUGAAGCAAAAACAAGAGGCAAAAAGAAGAGGUCGAUGUGUGUCACACACACACACACACACACACACACACACACACACACAUCGUGAAGAUGUGGGGGAAUGAGGGUCAUCUCUAAUUGGUCCAAGAGUAGGUCAGGGGUUGUGGCCAUAUCUCACAAUGUCACACAAGCGCUUGCUCUCUGAGCAGCAUCCCACCCACCUCCAACACUUUACUCUAGAUGCAACCCUGACAGUGUCUCCAUACAUGUGAUCAAGGUGUGAGGACGCCUAAAUGAUGAACCAGCGUGGAGUUCUGCACCACACAGCAUCAAACAGGGAUGAGGGAGACCUCAUGGGCGUGCUGAGUAUGCCCAGCCUCCACCAAAGACUAGGGAGGGGAGGGAGACAGAGGGGGAGACAGAAUGACGUGGGUCCAGGGUGGCAGCCUUCUCUAAGGAAGAGAAAGAAUGAAGAAAGCAGGCAUGGGCCUACCAUGUGCAGAAGGGGUCACAAGAACCAAGCAGAGACAGCUGAGGGUUGACUUGUGUUUACAUCAUAGAGGUGCAGACCAGCAAGAAGGGAUGGAAGGUGAAGGGGGAGUGUAGUGAAUGCCCACAGACUCAGAGGCUGCAGUGUAGUGAAUGCCCGCAGACUCAGAGGCUGCAGUGUAGUGAAUGCCCGCAGACUCAGAGGCUGCAGUGUAGUAAAUGCCCACAGACUCAGAGACUGGAAAGCUUGGUCCCCAGCUUGGGAAGAGUUAGGAGGGGGUUCAUUGGAGAUGUGUCACUGAGAGAGGGCUUUGGGGUUUUCAAAAGACUCUUCCCACUGUGUCUCUCCUCGUGAUCAUGGAUUAGUCUGUGAGCUCUCGGUUCCUUCUCUCAGCCAGCAUGGACUCUGUAGCCCUCUGAAACCCCAGGGAAGUUGCUUUGGCCUAGGUGUCUUGUCACAGCAGUAGAAAGUGACUAAGCAAGGCCAGCUCUGGCAAACUUUAAAACACUGAACAGGAACAGUGAUGGGCGGAAGGAAGCGAAGUCAGGAUCGCUGCUAAGCCUGAUCGCUCGGGCAGAAUGACUGCACAGGAUGAAGGGAAAAAGGUCACACUGAAGGAAUUUGUAGACACAUUGUUUGCUUGAAUAUCUCAGGCUGCUGAGGACUAGAACUACAGGUAAACACUCAACUCUUUCUCUCUUGUGUUUUGUCCCAGCAGGACGGUCGUCCAUUCUGAGAUCUCUGCACCAUAGCAUUGCCUUAAAAAAAUAUAAUGUUCAUUUUAUAUAUUAAAGAAAAAAGUUUUGCACACUUCAUUGGCUGUAGGUCAUAUCUCAAUACAAAGUAUAAAACGGGAACAAAAGAAAACAGUUAUGGGGUUGGGGAUUUAGCUCAGUGGUAGAGCGCUUGCCUAGCAAGACCCUGGGUUCGGUCCC